UUUUUUUUUUUUUUUUUUUGUUAAAAAUUAAUAUUUUUAUAUUUUGAAUUGUUUUGAUGUGCUAAUUUUAAAAAAAUAAAAAAAAUAUCAUUUUAAAAAAAUAAUCACAAUCACACUUCAAAAUAGACCCAUUAAAUUACUUAUUAUGUGUAAUUACAAGUCUUUAAAUCAUUCUUUUUUCUUGCGAUGCAAGAAUUUGUCUUUUGAUUGUUCUUUUUUAAUAUCCGAGAAAUUUAAAAUUUCUACGAGAAGAGGUAUUGGCAACAAAUUCUUUUUGGUAAUAGCCCGUAAUUAUAAUUAUUUUUUAAAAUAAUUUUUACUUAAAAUAUAUUAAAAUAAUAUUUUAAUUUUGUCGCUUCCCCGAGUACCAGCCUUGCUAAUGAAGCAAUACCUUUGAUUUGUAAGGAGACAGCAUCAUAAAAGAUUAGUAAGAUAGUUAAUUAGAUAUCUAUUUUACAAAUAAUAAUUAAUUUAAUUACAAAUUUAAUCAGCAAUUAUGGUUAAUGGAUCUUACAAUAAUAUAUUUUCCUAAAUAGUCUAACCACAGAGGAAAACAAUAAUAGCAAUACGAAGCAGGCCCAACACCUUAUUUUCUUUUUCCGAGAAUGUUUAGGGAAACUUCAUAAAAGUCCCCAAACUUUGAGGCUAGUCUUGAUCAGGUCCCUAGCAUAUUUCUCAUCUCAAUUAGAUCUCUAAUAUAGAUAACAAUUCUCAAUCAUAUCCUUCAUUCAAUUUUAGUUAAUAAAAUCAUUAAGUGAUUCAUAAUAUUUUUUAAAAAAAGAUGAAUUUUUUAGGAUUUUCGCUUUGAAUUAUGUGAAAAUGACGUAACAGACCAAAAUUAAAAUGGAAACACGAAAAUCUUAUAUUUAUUUUGUAUAAUUUUCUGUUUUAUUAUAUGACGUGAAAAGUUUUAGUUAAUUAAUGGGUAAAAGGAAUAAAGAAAAAUUAAUUGAUUUUUUCAUAACUAUUUAACCCUUAUAUUAACCUAAACUAACAUAAGGGUUUGAUUGAGAAUUCAUUGAUACACUAGAGAUUUAAUCAAGAUGAAAAAUAUGUUGAGGGCCUAAUUGAGACUUCCCCUACAGAUUGGGGUUUUUUUUAGGCUUGUCAAAAUAUUUAAUUCCUAAUUUUCAAUUUAUUGCGGCAGCUACUGAAACUCCUUAAAGAAAAGUUGGUUUAUUUUUUACUUUGUUUAGCCCCUGGCAUUGCUUGAAUAUUGGGAUUUCAUCCUAGCCACUAGAAGUCUUUCAAUUUGGUCCAAUUACUCACAAUUAAUUGGAAGAUAAUUUAUUUUGAGUGUAAACACAAGGCAUCAACAUGGCCCUCGAUUACGGACCAUUCUCUGAGAAGCAUAUGGUAACCACCCAUCACGCCAAUAAAUAAUCUCUUAUACUUAAUUGAUUAGAUUUUAAAGUUAUUUUUUAAAAAUUAUUAAUUUAAAUCUUACAAAUUUCAGAGCCACUAGAAGCUUUCAUGAUCGUUAACUUCAGGGCUCGUGAGAUUACUCGAAGUGCGCGCAAGCUGACCCGAACACCUAUAUUAAUAAUAAUAAUAAAAAUCUCCGUUCAUUUUUUUUCUCCCAGAAAUUAAACUAAAAUCGACAGUAAUUAUAAUGUCAAACCAAAAUAUAUAUUAUAAGAUGUUAUGGAUAUAAUUUUUUAUUUAAAUAAUAUACAAAUACGUGUAUUUUGCUUAAAAUAUAUAUGUCGAGACUUAACAAGCAAGCAACAAGAGCAGGCCUGUAUGCAUGAGCUUGUUGGUUGUCUUGAGCAAAGCAAAAUGGAGGGCAAAGUCAGCGAAUAUUUGCUGCCAGUUAUUGUGUUGUUGCCAUGAUGUCGACUUCCUCCGCCUGCUUGUCGAGCUUCUGGUAAGGGCUUGGUCUUGAUAUUUGGUAUUGAUUUGUGGCACUCCAUCAGACGCAUUAAAUUUGGUAAUGACUUGUGGCAGGAAGCAGAAAAGAGAUAUAAAAAAAUAUUUUUCAAAACAAUGGAUAUUACAAUUCCAUACAGUAUAUAAUAAAAAAAAUGAAAAUAAGUAUUUCGGAUGAUUAAGCUAUGCCUUUUACAUUAUUAUCAUCUUCGAUGUUCAAAGUAGGGGUGAUCGUUUUUGGUUCGUUUUAGUUUUUAUAUAUAUAAAAAAACCAAACUGAAAUUUUUUUUAUAAAAACCAAAACCGGUUCAAACCGACCGGUUUCGAUUCGGUUCGGUUUUUUAAGACAAAAACCGGUUCAAACCGGUUUGACUCGGUUUUUUUUCCGGUUUGGGUUCGGUUUGGUUUUUUCGGUUUCAGGCUUAUAAAACCAAAACCGAACCGAACCGUCGGUUUUUUUAAAAUUUUAAUUGAUUUAAUCGGUUUUUUUUACGAUUUGGUUUUUUCAAUUAUUAUUUUUCUAGUUUUCUCAAUUUAAUUAAUUUUUUAAUUUUUUUACGUACCCUUAAUUCAAAGUAUAGUUCGGUUACGAAUGCAUCGGUUAAAAAAUUAGGAAAAAGAGACAUAAACAGAUUAAGCUUAUUUUUUUAUAGUUUAACGUGGGUGUCCGGGCCAGCUUGCGCGCACCUCGACUAAUCCCACGGGCCCUGAAGUUAACGACCAUGUAAGCCUCCAGUGGCCAUCAUAUGAGCAACCAUAGGGUUCGAACCUGAGACCACAGAGGGAGCAAAUCUCUUAAUCCCAAGCUUUUACCAUUGGACCACCACCUAGAUGGUUAACAGAUUAAGCUUAUUGAUUGUAUAUCUGAUAGCUUUCUUUAAUAAAAUAAAUUUGAGUUAUAAUGACUUCAAUUUAUUUUGUUAUUAUUAUAAUGGGAAAUAGUUAGGCGCAAUUAUAUAAUCUUAGAUGGUGUUUGAUUCUAAUGAUUAUUUUUUAAAGUUAUUUUUGGUUCAAAAAUAUAUUACAAAAUAUUUUUUUUAUGUUUUAAAAGUUAUUUUUAAUAUAUCAGUACGAUAAUAUAUUUUUUUUGUUAUCAAAACGCAAUAUUUGAGAACUUUAUUAGCAGUGAAGAAAAAGAGAGAGGGUGUUCCGCUAGUGAAGCUUUGAGCCCUAAGAAGUGCUUAAAUUGUUAUAUUCUGAAUGAGAUAAGAUAUAAAGCAUUUGAAGCACCCAUUAUAUAAGCAAAAGCUUUUUGUUUAUUAAAGAAAACUUGAAUCUUCUUCGAAAGAGGGAGACUCUCAAGCCUUGAUCUGUACUACGCUGUUAAUAUCUUUUAUAUUUGAUGAAGAGCAGCCUUCAUAUUUAUUAAGAUUUCUAAGUUGAAACCAUAUAGUAAAUGACCCAAGAGUUUGAAAUUAAAAAGCUUGUUUUCUUUGUGAUUUCAGAUUCGAGUCCUGUGGUUGUUAAUAAUAUGAUGACCACUGGAACCUUACAUAGUCGUUAAUUUUAAAAUCCAUGAGAUUAAUCGAAGUACAAGCAAGUUAGGCCGGACACGCCAGUAAUAAUAAAAAACAAAUUCCUAAGUUGAAGCGGCAUCUGUCCAUAUUGCGAAUUUGCAAUGACAAGUCACACUCAUAUCUAAAAGUUUUGAUUUUUUAACUUUGAACUGGUCUUUUAUAUAUAUAUAUAUAUAUAUAUAUAUAUAUAUAUAUAUAUUUGACGUUAAAGUAAUGUACAAAGUUGUAUUCCUAAGUGAAGAAAAAAUGCUUGCGAAAUAAGUUUCAAAGCAUGAAUUAAUACUAUCCGAGAAUUUUUAAUUUUUUUGUUGAAUCAAAUACGUUCCCGAUGAUGGUAUUUUUAACUCUUUAUCUUAUUGAAAUAAAUAGAUUGGGCUUUGAAUUUUUUUUUUAUUUGGGUAGUUUUUAUUUAUUUUUGUUGGAUUAAAGGGCUAUUAAAGAUUAGAAAUGUGUUUAUUAAGUUUUCUAAAAUGUUUCUUAGAUUUUUUAAGUAAAAUAAAAGUUGAUAAUAAAGAUUUUUUAGGUUCUAGAAGCCUUUUUUGUUUUUUUUUUACUUUCCAGUCUCAAAAAAAGGUUAGACACACAGACUUGGUCUCGCAGACUAAAACAUGCAUGGCCUGUGCAAGCGUGCUUGACUUCUCUUUUUUAGACAGGGCUGUCCCAUCAACAUCCAUGCGCCCUAGUUCUUGAGGCCUUCCGUUUUCUUUUAAAAUUUGAAUUAAAAUUCUUUAAAAUAAAAUAAUUGCAAUUAUAUUUAGAGUAUUAUUUCAUUAAAUUCCGUUAAAUUCUGGAAUUUUUUCUUCAAAUAAAACUGUUAAGGUUCUUAUAAUAUUAACAAGAGGAGGCCCAUAUGCACGAGCUUCUUUGAUGAUAUGUAUCAGAUAGAUAAGGUGGUUGUCUGGUAACGGCUGGAGAGAAUUUUUUUUUUAUAUAUAUAAUUAAUGUGGUUCUCCGAAUUAGUUUUCAUUCAUCUCGAUUAAUCUCAGAGACUUUAAAGUUAAUGAUCAUAUAAACUUUUAAUAACUCUAAAAUUUAUAAGACUUGAAUUAAUAAUAUUUAUGCUAUGUUUGUUUACCGGAAUUCACUUUCCGGGAAACCACUUUCCAAACUUUCCUGUGUUUAUUUGCCACUAGAAAAGUUGGUCAACGGAAAACACUUUUCAGUCAAAGAAAAAUUUGGCUUGGUUUCCAGGAAAGUGUUUUCCUGGAAAAUUUGAGCGGAAAACACUUUCCGGAAGUUGUGAAAAAUUUAGAAAUGUCAUAUUAUUUGCUGAUUAUAUCAAAUUUGAUUCUCAAACUUUUGAUUUCUAUAUAUAUUUUGUUUUGAAUAUUUAUUUUUCAAUUUCAUCUCUUAAAAUUUAAUUUUUAUAUUAACUUUAGUCCUCAUUUUUAUAAUUGUUAUUUGUUUUUCUCUUAUCAUUUUUUUAUUGAAAUUUUUUAUGUAUCAAAUUUAGUCCUCAUUCUUUUGAUUGUUACUUAUUUUAUUUGAAAUAAUUUAUGAAAUGUUAAUUAUUAUUAUUUUAAUUUCUUCAUCUUUCAUUUUUUUUAUUUUUUAGAUUUGAUUUCUAUUAUUUAUUUUAUUUGAGAUAAUUUAUGAAAUUUUUUUUUCAAUUUCAUUCUCAUUCAACCUUUUAAUUUGUAAGAUUUAUUUCUUAUUAUUUUAAUAAACUCGAGAAAAUAAAACAUUAAUAAGUUAUUUUUCAGCUCAUUUUCUAUGACAUAACCAAACACUGAAAAAUAUUUUUCAAUUUAUUUUUUAUUAUACUACCAAAUAUCGAAAAAUAAUUUACUUUCUUGAAAUUAAUUUUUCUAGAAUUUAUUUUCUAAAAAAAACUACUUUCAAACAACCAAGCAACAAGCAAACAAACAAAGUGGACCUGGGAACAAAAUCUAGAAAAUCUAGAAACUGAAUUAUACCUUUUAGAAUUAAUUUGAGGUUGUCCGGUGACGGCUGGGGAAUAAAAUGGAGUGCAAGGUCUGCUGCCAGCGAUUAUGAUGCUGCCAAGCCAUUAACGCAUCACCAGAAGCAUUGAACUUGGUAAUGACUGCUGGCGAGGACUCGGUCUUGAUAUUUGGUAUCGAUUUGAAAAUGACCCUCGGAAGAAUUAAAUUUGAAAAUGAAUAAAAUAGUCACCGACUAAUUCUGUAUUUAUUAUUGUGAUUUAAGAUGGUUUUUUUUUUAAUAUUUUUUGUUUAAAAUAAUUUUUUUUAUUUUUUUAUAAACAUUAUCAUCAACAUCAACAUUCAAAAUAAGUUGAUGCGUAUAUGAUAAUUUCUUUUAAUAAAAUAAAUUUAAGUUAUAAUGACUUUAGUUUAUUUAAUUAUUAUUAUUAUAACAAGAGAGAGUUAGCUCCAAUUAAACAUAUAUAAUCUAAGGGUUUUGUUUAUGGGUGAUUAUUUUAUAUUUGGUUCGGUUUUUAUUAAAAAUAAAUAACAAAAUUAAAUUAAAAAAACAAACCGAAACCGGUUCAAACCAGCCGGUUUCAGUUCGGUUUUUUAGGAUAAAAACCGGUUCAAACCGGUUUGGUUUGGUUUUUUCCAGUUUGGCUCGGUUUAUUAUCAACAUCAACAUUUAAAAUAACUUAGUAGAUGCGUAUAUGAUAAUUAUUUUUAAUAAAAUAAAUUGAAGUUAUAAUGACUUCAGUUUAUUUAAUUAUUAUUAUUAUUAUAAGAAGAAAGAGUUAUAACAAACUCAUCACCUGUUAAUCAAGCUACUCCAUCCCACUUAUCACAUCUCACAAAUUUUAUGAAAUAAAUAUAAGGUUGAUAUACUAUAAUGGACAUAUAAGGUUGAUAAUUUAAUCGUCGAUAAAUAUUAAAUCAAAUAUAUUGAUUUAAAUAAAUUAGUUUUUUUAAAUAAUUACUUUAUCCAAUUAAUAAUAAAUACAAUAUAAAUAUUAUUAAACUCUAUUUAAAACUUAUCAUCAAUUUAAUUAUUAUAAACUCGAUGAAUAUUAUUGAACUCAAUCCGAAAACUUAAUUAUUUAUUAAGAUGAGUACGUAGAAUCCAGAUCUGUCCGUAUGAUUUUUCAAUAACUAGUCAGCCACUCAAUAAUUGCUUAUUUAAGCAAUUUUAAUAUUUCAACUUUGAACUGGUCUUAGGAUAUAUAUAUAUAUAUAUAUAUAUAUAUAUAUAUAUUGAUGUGAUUUGAUUCAAUUAAAAUCAAGGAAUGGAAAGCAGAUUUUCCGCUUAAAGACAGAAAAUAAAUUCUAAAGGAGGAGGAAAAUUCAUGCUUUGAAACUUAUUUCGCAAACACUUUUUCUACAGUUAGAAAUUCAACACUGUGCAUUAAUUUUAACAUCAAGAAAUUUAUAUAUUUAUUAGAAAGAAUCCCACUACCCGAAUGUUAGGAUAAAAAAUUAAUGUACCAGUUUAGUGGAUGAAAUGUAAUAACGGUGAUAGUUCAAAGUAUUUUUUUAUUUAGAAAUAUAUUAAAAUAAAUUUUUUUAUAUUUUAAAAAUUAUUUUUAAUAUUAAUACGCUUAAAACGAUUUAAAAAUAUAAAAAAUUUUUACUUAAAAAAAAAAUAUAAUUUUUUUAAAAACACCAUGCAAAACCACGUCCCAGUCACUCCCAAACUAUCAAUUACUCGUUUAGCUUCAAGGACAAGAUGGGUUCUCUCAGCUUUUUCAAUCCAAAACUAUAGAAUCUGUGGUUUUAUAUCGAAAACUUAAAAUCUAGUUUUCCUUUCUUUUCUUUUUAUCUCUAUUUUGGAACUUUUUGAUUUUUUUUUUUUGAGUUUUUUCUCGUAGUAAACACAACUUUUAUAACAGCAGUUCUUCUAAUCAAAUAACUUCGGUAUUUAAUCACCACAACUACAAUAAGCUAUAAUUUAUAGAAAUGAGCGGACUUAAACUUAGGGUUAAGAUUAUCCAAGAUUUCACUUAUUAAACAUAUAUAUAUAUUUUAUGAAUUUUUAUUUAUAAAACCCACAUCAUUCUUGAAACUAUUCUGAUUUAGAGUUGAGAAAAAAAAUUAUAAUUACCGUCGCAACUAGAAUCAAACACAGCUAAAAAUGACAAUGUCAGAAAUGAUAAGCAUUGUUAAAUCAAAUCAAACACAGCUAAAGGCACGUAAGCAUUGUUAAAGGGUUUGUCCAUAUGCAUAAACAGUUCGUAAUGUUACCAUCUGUGGUGCAGUGAUUUGAAGAAUUCCCUCUUCUGUAAAAUGAGGCGGUCGUCUUUGGUAUAAUGGUAUUCCUGAAUUAUCUAUCGCAUCAGUCAAAAGUGUGUAUUUGCAGUCAAUACAUGACAAGACAUAAACUUACCUAUUUUUUAGUCAUGAAGGAACGUGCAUGCUAGUGGGUUGGAAAUUUGAAACCACGACGAAUCAACAGCUAUUGUCAACUGUUGUUUUACAGCCAUGCUAAACCCUGAUGAUUUAAUUUCCCUGUCUACCUUUCUUGAAGAUCUUGAUAUGUGUAAGAAGUUAAUUAUGACACAAACUAGAAAAAAUGUAGCUAGCCGGCGUAAUGUAUUACACCGCUAUCUGAUAACCUUCCGAUUUCCAUUUUAAUGAUAUAUCACUGGGUAUACAUAUAUACACGCACAUACUUGAAUUAGAUCACAUAAAACAUGGUCUCAAAGCCUAAACUACAUGAGAUAAUCUUCAAUGGAGAUGUUUAAAUCGUCCCCUACUCUCGUUCCGAUAUUGUUUUCAUGCCAGUUCUCGCAACGAUUACUACUAUCACCACCACCACCUGCUGCAGGUUCCCAUAACUGUGUCUGUGGCCCAUGAUUAAUCGCAACAUUCUCAGGUCCAACCUUGACCUCGUUUUGGAGCGACCUGUUCAGUAUCAUCUGAGCAUCGAUUGCCAUCCCAGCAUCCGACGCAGCUUUCUGUAUGGACUUGGGUGACAUGUCUUCCCUUACACUUGCAGGCAACAUUAGGGGGAAAUUCAGACUCUCUAACGAAGAAGGCCCACGUAAACAAUAAGAAGCUAUGUCAUGAGCCACCGCAGCUGCCUCGGGUGUAGAAUAAGAACCUAACCAAAGUCGUUCUUGCUUCCCAGGAAUCCUUAUUUCAGACACCCACUUGCCCCAUUUUCGCCUUCUUGCUCCCUUGAAUUUCCUUUGAGAUGCACUUGCUCCACUUUCUUGAUCUAUUAUCCUGCUGCUGCUGCUGCUGCUGCUGCCGCCGCUGCUACCACUCAUCCUUUCCUUUCCUUUCCUUUGAUUCUUUAUGGGUUUUACACGUAUUUGUGAGUACUUCAAACUUCCUUGAAACGCUCAAGAGAGCCUGUAAGAUAAAGAAACGCUGGAGUCCUUAUAUAGGUUGAGGAAGUACGAAGUCAAAGCCAAAAUAUAAUAUCUACUCUAAAGUCAAAAUCUUCAAGGUCAAAGUAAUAAUAAACGUAUAUUUUUUAGUUUCUAGGCUUACAAGUGGGCGUUGCUUUUGAAGCUUCGGCGGAUCCAGGUUGGGCGAGAGGAAGUGGAAUGGACAUUUGGAGAGAAACAUGAGGCUCUGGAAAUUUUAUGGAGAAGAGUGUCUUACUUGGUCUUUGGCUAAAAAACGUGUUGAUGAACUUUAAAGCUACUCGCCCCCAAAGCAAUAUCUGGAAAGGUCGAGGAGAUUAGACUUUAAUUAAACCCACGCGUAUUGCCUAAUUGCGUCACAAAUGACGUCAUUUAUAAGUCAACCAUUGUCUCCAUUUUCAAGGAAUCAGGAGUCGUCGACGGAUCCAUCAAUUAUACUAAAUCCGUUUUAAUUUCUUAUGCAUCUUUAUAUAUAUAUAUAUAUAUAUAUAUAUAUAUAUAUAUAUAUAUAUAUAUAUUUUUCCUGCUCUGGAUUCUAUUUUUAAUUUUAAAUUUAAUUACUUGAAUUAAAUAAAAAAUAAAAAGCAAAUAUUUAAGUUAUUUAUACUCAAUAUGUGUUUAUCUUGUUUUCAAUUUUAUAUUAAAAAUUGCUAAAUAAAAACUAAUUUUUCUUGUUUUCAAUAUUUUAUAAUAUUUUAUAAAAAUUAACUCAUAAACCAAAUUUAAAAAGUUAUGAAUAACAUUGGAACUCUUAGAAAAUUAGAAGGGUAAAAUAUAGAAAUUUCAAACUAUAAGAAUAGACGUGAAGUAUUUAUGAUCAUUGAUAGGGACAAAAUCAAAGCUUACGGAUUGUUCCCCACAGAAACGGCAUUGCUCAACCAGUUCCUCAAGCUCAAGCUCAAGUCAACCCAUUACCCAUUAAUGGAGGUUGGUUGACAAGCACCGUCUAAUUUGCUCUUGUCUAUCACGUGAUAUUAUUAAUGCUUUAAUUUUUUUUUAAUAAAAAAAUCAAAUCAGUACUCAAAACUCAUGGGAUAAUUUCAAGUAAGCCUGAAUUUAUAUUCCCAGUUUUCAAUUAUUUCAAUGUAGAACUAACUAGCCACUAAAUUGAAAAACAAAACCUUGUCUUCAAUUAGUCUAUGAAUAAAAUAAGUAAACUUAAAAGAGAUAGAGAUAAGCAAAAGCACAUUUACAACAAAAUAGUCCCUAAUAUGAUAAAGUUGACACAUGUGCCCCUGUUAGUAUUUUUGCUAGAUGAGUGCAAAAGCCAACAACAUAUGGAAAAAUUUAUUUAGAAUUACACCUUAGCAGUAAAAUACGUAUAAAUUGUCCUACAAUCUAUUUUGAUUUGUAACAAUUUGCCAAAUUUACAAAAGCCAGUAACAAUUAAACAUUAAGGUUUGAUGGUCAAUUAGAGGUCUUGAUUGAAAAAAAUUCAAAACUAAGGAUCAAACUAUAAAAGACACAAGACUUCAGGAACUCAUGACAUUAGUUCAAUCAGGGGUCAAAUUGAAAAAAAUUAAAAGUUUGAUGGUCAAUUGGAGGUUAAUUUGCAUAAACCAGAAACCAAGGACUAAAAGAAAAAAAAUAAUAAACUUUGGAGUUGGUAAUUAAAUUUGACAAUGAUGAAAUUGUAUAAAAUUAAAAGUUAGAGUGUAAUUAAUGUUGCUGGAUGUUUGGAAGAUGUAUGAAUGAUUGUUUUUGAUGAAAUAAAUAAAUUUGAAAUUUGUCAAAUAUGACAAUUGGGAUGUCUUUUUGGUUUGUUAAGUGCAUGUUCUUGACUUUUGGGUUUUGGUUGAGUCCUAUAAAAUGUUAAAAUGCUAGUUUUGAAUAUCAAAUUGUCAAAUAUGCUUGUUGUUUUAAUUUGGUAGUUUUUGAAAAGUGAAAUCUCAUACAUAAUUUUGAUGAUUUGAUGUUAUUCAUUAGUUCUUUUGAAUCAAAUAUGCUUGGUAUUGUCAAUGUGGUUUGUUAGAACCGAAAGUAGCGGGUUUAGAGGUCAAAAAUGUAUUUUCCAAGGGAUGGGCAUUAGCUGAGCAUUUUCUGGGUUUCUUUGGGUUUUUGUUAUGUGUUCUUGGAAAGAACAUUGCAUUGGCUUCAUGAUUUGGAUCAAUUUGGUCCAAUUUUUUGCACCAACAACUUCCUUAGACUUGAUUAAUAAAUAAUAUAAAGUUAGUUUGCAUCAAUAACUAUUUUUUUUCCUGAGUUUUAAUCACAAGGUUUUGUUCUUGCACUGAAACCUAUUCUGAUCAAAUCAUGAUUAUAGGUUGAUAAUCAAUGUUUUUUGAUGAUUGAUUCUUGUUCCUUGAAUGAUUUCCAGCAUACCUAUGCCUUUGAUUUUGUUGUAUCUGGCCGGACUUGAGAGUCAUGUGAUUGAGUGUGCUUUGAAUGUUUCUUCGUAUUCUUGAGUUGUAUGGGUUUGGAUUUGUUUUGACAAGUUUUUUCAUGUUUUUGGUUUUGAUUUAGGCCGAUAUAAUUUAGAAACACCUUUAGACCAUAGCAACCACAAACAAAGAAAAACGAUGCAGUUAAUUUUAAGUAAGACGUACUAGGGGUGUUAAUACUUUUCCCUUAUACAACUAGUCCCUUACCUAGAAUCUCUAAAAAGUAAUUAGAGUUUGUAUUGAUCAUAAUACUAGAUCCCAACUCAUUAUCCAACAAAAGACCUCUCAACCCACACGGUAAGGAUCGCCAUGAUAUCACUCUCAUACAACAAAAAAAAAUGUUUGAAUUCAAGAUUUCUUAAAGAAAAGGACAAUAAUAUCGAUUAAUUAAGCUACAACUCGUUAACAUACCUUCCACACACACUUUGCAUUAUGUUAUAUAUUUUUUAGAAUAUUCGAACUUAAUUAAACAUCAUCUUUUAGCAAAUGAAAAUCCUUCAAGAUCACAUGGAAUGAUGGAAAGUGGUCUUGGUCACACAACACAGUGAUUUUGCAAAAUAAUUUUGUUUCAAUGCAAAAAUAAAUGUGCAGGAUUUUUCAUUGUAUUUUUUUAACAAAAACAAUUCUAAUAAUAAAUAAAAAAGUUGGUGCAAAUAUUUAAUUAAAUAAAUUGAGAAUCAUAUAUUUCCAAUAAAUACAAGAAAAAAAGAAAGAAAAGAAAGUGUUAAUGAUAUCCAAAGACUAAAUUAAAAAAUUGAGAGAUGGAUGUAAAUCAAAAUGUUUGAUAUCUCAAUACAGGUCAUGAAUUCAAUUGUGUUUAAUAAUUUUAUUUCUUAGAAUUAUUUUAUUUAUUUAAUCAGACAAUAAUAGAAAUAGACACGUACAUGAAAAUGAUUGAAUAAAAUCCAAGGAAAAAAAAUAUUAUGCAAGGUUUUAUAAAAAAACAUCUACUAAUAUCAGAAAACAUUUGAAAGCCGAGUAAGAAUUAAACAAUAUUUAACCAAAAACUAAAUUAAAAAAUUAAAAAAUUAAAAGAUUGAUGUGUAUUUAGAAAUAUGGUUUUGAAACACGAGCCACAAUGAUAAUAAAAAAACAUGCAUAGAAAUUAAAACUAUAGGGUCUAAGGAAUAAGAAAAGAAAAAUAAGCGGAUUGAAAAGAACUUUUUCAUAUGAUUUUGAGACCAACCAUGCAAUUUCUCAUUGUUUUACACUUUAAUACUCUUUUAUUAGAAUUUUUCUUUUCUUAAUAAAUUUUUAGAAAUUGAUCAUUAAUUUGGUCAUAGAAUGCAACAAUUAAUAAAAAAAAGUUUGAGGACAAACUUAAUUUUUAUUUUUGUGAUUUUAUGAAUUGCUAUAAUAAUUGACCUAGUUGUUUUAGUGUAUUUUAUAAUGCAAUUGUAAUAAUAAUAAUCAAUCCAAAUUCAUCAUAUAAAAAAUAACAGACGAGGACACAAAUUCAUUCAAAUACAUUUUAUUCUACAAAUGGUUAAAGAGUAGGACAAGAAUAAACCAAUUACAGAUGAUGGAUUUAAUUUUAUAAUAAGAUUAAUCAUACCCACAGAUAAAAGCACUAAUUAAUAUACUUAAUCACGUCUCCACCCCCACUAAUUAAUAUAUUAAUAUUUUAUAUACCUCCCACUAUAUUCUCAAACACAUGCUAAAUAUAUAGCAUAUUGUAUAUAUAAAUAAAUCUUUCCCACCUUACAUUUAAAUAUAGUAAUUCAAUAUCAGUCAAACUAAUUAUUUAAUAUAUUAAUAAAACCAAUAGAAUUCUCUAGAAUCAAACUAAGGCUGCGUGACAUGCAUUAAGGGAUGAUCAUUUUUUGUUCGGUUCGGUUCGGUUUUUAUAAAAAAGAAGUAAUCAAACCAAUUUUUUUUUUAAAAACCGAAACCGAACCGAAACCGGUUCAAACCAACCAGUUUUGGUUUUUUAGGACAAAAACCGGUUCAAACCGGUUUGGCUCGGUUUUUUUUCCGGUUUGGGUUUGGUUCGGUUUUUUUGGUUUCAGGCUUAUAAAACCAAAACCGAACCGAACCGGUCGGUUUUUCAAAAAUUUUAAUCGGUUUAAUCGUUUUUUUUUCACGGUUCGGUUUUUUUAGUUAUUUUUUUUCUGGUUUUCUCGGUUUUUAGUUUUUUUGCUCACCCUUAAUAUGCAUGGAGGGUCUCUCAUUGGGAAAGAAGGAGAAAAGGGAGAAGAAGAUAAAUACAGUAAACGAAGAAAACUGCAAUUAGGCAAUAAUGUGAUUCAUCGAAGAAGACAGGACAACUUGAAACUUUGAUCAAUUCUGGUUGGUAGAGAAUAAUACGAGAUUUGAACUUGAAAAUUAGAGUCUUAAUUUCAUCAAUUAGCAGAGCUUUCACCGACCUCCUUUUUUCUUGUUUAUUUUCUCUUAACAAUCAAUUCUUUGAAUCUUUGACUCUCUUUUGUUUAAGCCAGGGAUUUGUCAAUAGCACCAACCGGAAAACCCAAGUGGAAGAUCAAACAAGGAACAGGAAAGGUUAAUCAGAGCAGAACAGAAAAAAAAAGAGGAAAAAAGGGGGGGAAUUAAUAAAAUAAAUAAAAGUGAAUAUGAGAAAUAUAGUUUUUUCUGUUUUUAUUAUCUAUUCUCCAGCUAAAUUAAACGUAAUGAUGAUAAAAUCAUCAGUAAUUUAUCUUUUUUUUUUUCUAGGAAUAUGGACUAGGAAACAUUCAGUCAAUCUGCAUAUAAUUAAUGGCUGUUUGUGGCUCAGAAAACAUUGAAUUCUCAGCUUUACUUUGAAAAACAUACCUUGAAUUAAUGAUUAAGAGAAUUGACUCGAGGGUUUGGAGUCAAAGGAGUUCAAUUUUGGUUAAUUACGGGUGAAUGAAUCUAAGAAGACAGCUGGGAAAUAGAACUUCCAUGUUUUCCAUCGUUCUAACCUUUUAUUUCAGGUUCAUUCUCCCCUGGUCUGAAGAAGUCUGGUUCAUGUUUUAAGCUCUGAUCCUUCCUUUGACUCGCUUAAUUUCUUCCUUAUUGCCCAACUUGCAAACACUACAACAUUAUCCAGUUUUACCGACGGACUCAUUCCGUCGGUGACAGUAAUGAAAUCCGUCGGUGAAAAUAAUACCGACGGACUCACCGACGGAACACGUCCGUCGGUAUAACAGUCGUCGGUAAAUCCCAUUUCCGUCGCUAAUUCUGUCGCAAAUAAAAAAAACCACCCACCGACGGAAACACCGACGGUAAUACAGACGGAUACGCGCGCGCCAAAAAAAAUUCCACGCGGGAACAUUACCGACGAAUUUUCCGUCGGUAAUUGCAAGGGUAAUUACCGACGGCAUUCCGACGGCUUAUCCGUCGGUAAUUAUGGCAUGACUUGUAAUUUUGUUGCAACUCUCUGUGUAAUACCGACGGAUAUUAUCAACAUUUUUAAAAUAAAUCAACAAUAACAAUUAUAUUUAUAAACUAACAUUUUUAACAUAAAUUCAACAAUAACAAUUAUAGCAAUACAAACAAUAAUAUCAAAACUAAAAAACUAAAAUUAAUAAAUAAAAUUAAAAAACUAAAAAACACUACACAACACACAACAUAAACACAAAACAAACAAUACACAAAAUUAAAAAACAUUAUAUCAAUUCAAAAUAAAUUUGGGAAUAAAAAAUACUUACCUUAAUAAUGUGUUGAAUUUAAGAUUUUAUCUACAAAACAAUAUACAAAACAAAGAACACCAAAAUAAAUAAUCAUAAUUAAAAAAAAAAUACAAAGAUAAAGAAAAAAAAUACAUACCUUUUAAAACUAAAUGAGAGAAGAAGAGAAAGGGAGAAGAGGAAGGGAGAAGAGGGGGAGAAGGGGAGAAGAGGAGAAGCGGGAGGAGAAGAGGAGAGAAGAGGAGGGGAGAAGAGGAAGGGAGAAGAGGGGGAGAAGGGGAGAAGAGGAGAAGCGGGAGGAGAAGAGGAGAGAAGAGGAGGGGAGAAGAGGGGGAGACGAGGGGGGGAGACGAGGGGGAGAGGGAGGAGACGGUGCGGGGGUGGUGGGGGUGGCGGUAUAUAUAGGUAAAUUCCGACAGAAUUACCGACGGCACUUAAUUGCUGUCGGUGCAAUUAAUUUCCGUCGGUAAUUCCAUCGGAAAUUAAUUGAAAUGCGCACCAAAAAAGUUUGAAAAUCCCGCCAAACUUUUCGAUCCGUCGACAAUACCGUCGGCCAUUCCGUCGGUGAUGGUGCAGACGGACACGUGUCAGACAUGCGUGGUCCGUCGGUAGGUGACGUCGGUAAUGCCGUCGCUAAUCGUGCAGACGGACACGUGUCAGACAUGCGUGCGGACAACCCGUCGGUGAUUCGGUUUGUAUUAGCGUCGGAAAAUCCGUCGGAAAAACGUCGGUGAGUGUGGCAAAAUCCCGUAAUUUUUUUGCAACUCUCUGUGAAAUACCGACGGGUUAUAUUCCGUCGGUAUAUCCGUCGGUGAAAAGGUAAAUUUUUCUUAUGUUUUGUAUGUAACCCUCUCAAAAAAUCUUGAAUUGCAAACUAAAAAACACACACAACACAAUAACAACGGCUGACCCUUAAAGAAGAAUAAAUAUUUCAUGUUUCAAAUUAUUACAUUAUAAAAAUAAGGCUUUAUAACAUGUUUAGUUAGUCGGAAUUUUCAUCUUCGUCCUCCAUUGAAUUGUUAUCAUCAGCUUCAUCGCACUCUUCAAUUUCGUUAUCAUCUUCUUCAACAACAUUCUUUUUUCCACUAGUAGAGCUCAGAACAACAUUCAACUCCUCUGCGUCAACAUCAACAAGACUAUUGUUGAAAACGCGAAAAUUCGAAUUUUCUUCUAAGUCAAUCGACGGAGCAACUCGGUAUGGUUCAACCAACUCACUAGCUUGAAAGACUUCAUCUAUCACACUUGUGUCUUCGUUCUCAUCCUGAACAACCUCGACACGACCCUAGGGUUUUGUUUUUAAAACGGAUAACCAAUCACUCGGUCAUCUCGACAUUUUCAAGGUAGUAUAACAUGCAAAAGUUAGGGCAUAUAUCAAUUUUCUGGUAUCCUAAACCGAGGGGUUUCAUCAUGGACUUGGCAGCAUAGAAGUUCUCUUUCAGCCUGUUCCCUUCAGGUAAAAUGCUUCUCGCCCAUUCAAUAAUCUUGUCAUAACCGGCCUCACUCAACCCGUGAUCUGACUUGAUGGUGAACACCUGUGCUACGGCUGAUAAUUUACUGUGGUUCGUGCAGCCAUCCCAUAAUGGUUCGUCAGAAUCUCUCAACAGAUCAAAAAACCUUGCUGCAUCUGCAUUAGGUUCUUCUUCUACGAUUGGACAUUCCCUGACAUUAUCUUCACUCAUUCUCAUUGCAUCCAUAACCAUAUUCCUGUAAGGAUUACUGUUCUCAUUUCCAACUUCAUGCAUGUUACUAGCACUAGAAGUUGAACCAACCACCUGUUCUUCCAUGCUCUCAUCAGGAACAAAUAGUUCUCCGUGAGCAUACCAACACAGGUAAUCUUCCAUGAACCCUUUGGUUAGAAGAUGCAUUAUUACAACAUCUUGAUGCAGAAACUUUAAAUUUUUACACUUCCUGCAUGGACACCUAAUACCGCCAUCAGUAAAAUUCCUCGGAAUAGAUGUUGCGAAAUUAAUAAAACCCUGGACACCGUUACAAUAAUCCAUCCUCCGCAAUCCUUGGGGUGAGUCCCGAUACAUCCAUGAACGAUCAUCCAUGACUUCUAUUGAACCUCUAUAAAACAUAACAAAAAUAUUGGUUUUCCCCGACAUUAUCCAACAAACUAAAACAACACUUAUGUUAAAUAUUCAUUAUCAAUUAUCAACUAUCAACGUUCAUACAUACAAAUUUAUACAUAUAUAAAUUUACAAAAUUAAUCACAACUUCGAAAUAUAAUUGAUAACAAUUAAACAAGACACUUAAACAAGCUAUUAAUUAUUUAUUUCAUCACAACGACACAUUUAAUUCGGUGUAAUUCAAACAAAAUUUCAACAAUUUACAAACAAAUAUAAUUUGACAAAAUCUAAAACAACCUAUAACAAUUACAAAAUUAUACAUUCAUACUACAAGUUUCUUUGACAAAUAACAAUUAAACAAGUACAAACGUUAACAAAAUACAUAUACUAAAACAAUAAAAUUCACAAUUAAAUAUUAAAACUACAAAGGAUAGAUUUACUUACAAAAAAAUGAUAAAAUCUACAAGAAACGGAUAUUGUGACCACGUACAAGAUAUAAGAAACUUGAGUGCUCGUGUUGAGAAUAGUGGAGAGUUUGGGAUGGGUGUUUGGCUGCAGUUUGGGAGGGGAGAGGUGAGAUGGGAAAGAAGAAGAAGGAGAAACAGAGGAUGAGAGUGUCGGCAGAUGGGUGCAUAUAAUGGUUUUUUCCGACGGAAUCACCGACGGAUUCCUGCCGUCGGUGAUAGCGCCACGUCACUGUACGGCUAUCACAGUUUGAAUCCCUCGGUAAUUUCCGUCGGUAAAAUCGCCUGACGUCACCAUGCCGUUGCGUAUUUCCAGACGAACUGUAUAUUCCGUCGGCAAACCGACGGUAUAUACCGACGGAAAUAUUCCGUCGGUACAUACCGAUGGAAUUACCGACGGAAUGGGUCCGUCGGUAUAUACCGACCGAUUUUGAGACGGAAUUAUUUCCGUCGGUAUACAUUACCGACGGAAAAAUUCCGUCGGUAAUUCCGUUGCUUUUCUCCGGUUUUCUGGUAGUGAAAAUUUAAGGGAAAUGGUACGCUCGAACACACCCAGCAUAGUUUUUUUAGUCCUAAACUCUUAUGAUUAUGCAAAUAAGUCCUUCAAUAAAUGGAACGAAGACUCUCUCUUUUCUUAUUUGCUCAAGCCUAAAUGUGUAAAGAUUCCUUCAACUAUCGAUUAUUCUGAUUGACACCCUUUAUAUUUUUUUCUUUUAAUUUUUAUAUAUGAAUUAUCAUAUGCUUGGAUUAAAACCCCUCUUGUCAUCCUUAUCCUUGGGAUUCACCUUUGUGACCACUAAAUCAACUCAAAAGACGACUAAAACAUAACUUUCAACCUCCCAAAAACCAUUCUUAUACUCAAAUCAAACUCAUACACAUAUUAACAAUUAGGCUUGAAAUUGUAGUAAAAAUAUAAAAUUGAAAGAUAGGAGACUAAAAUGCAAAAAAUAAAGAAAAUAUAGCUAACUCCAUGUUAACGACCAUCUUUAUUUUGGAACAAAAUUUUAUUUUCUCUUUUUUUUUGUCCCUGAAAUGAAGAGAGGCAAGGAGAGAGAAACUAGCCUAGAAAUGACAAGGAGAGAGAAAGUGAUUGGUUUGACCACUUUUCAAUGAUGAAACUCGUCGUUCUUGAUGUCAAAGGGUUUCAUUCAAUGACAACAAUUCGAUUGUUGUGUGUUUUGUUUAUAAACAUGUCUUAAAAAGUGAUUGGGUUCCGUCUUGAAUAUAUUUUAUUCUGUUGAGUUUUAUUUUUAGCUGAUUUUGAAGGUGUUUUGGAGCUACUCAAUGGUUUAUAAUGAUUUGUAUGGUAUUUAUUAGGUGUUUUUAGAUAAAAAUAGAUAGUAGUUAAAUUCAGUUUGAUAGUAGAUAAAGGUGCCUUAAAAAGUGAUCGGUCGAACGAUGGUGAUCGGCUGAUUAUUGCACAGCAUUUCAUAUUGUAGUGAAAUACAGUUUGAUAGUAGGGGGGAAAAGAGCCACUGAAAAUGGUUACAAUCUCUGAAAAACAAGCAAGCAAUAUAUGAUGUUAUUCUAUAUUUUUCUUCAAAUUUAUUUAUUCUUUUAUUAUAGAACUAAUUAAUUGCUAAGAGGUUUGUUAUUAAUUUAGAGGACCGGUUUACCAGGGGUUUCAAAGGACAAUACAGGAGGAAGAAGAAGACAUUCAGCUCCUAAUCUCUUCAAAGAUCAGUCUGCCAAUGAAUCUCUUUUAUUGUUAUGAUGACGACAUUCUCUCCAAUACCGAAGAGCAAGUGGUGCUUUAAAUUAACCUAGCUAGUGGCACGUGUUUUGCAUUAGGAAGGAUUAAUUAUAUAUAUAUAUAUAUAAAUUAACCUAGCUAGUGGCACGUGUUUUGCAUUAGGAAGGAAUAUGUGUUUUAGCAGUAUUUCUUGAUAAAAUCUGAAAAAAAAAAGAUAAGAUGACCAAGCUCCAUUAUAGGUCUGAUAAAAAUAUAAAUUUCAUUGCAGAAAGAAAAAUGUAUUUAUAGGUGUUGUUAAUGUUUUAAUGAAUUUCAAUUUAAAUCAAAGAAAUUUUGAGUUGAGCUUUGCCUUGGGUGUUAAACUAAAUUGGGUUGGAUUUUAUUUUUAUAUGAUCCGAUUAACUAAGCAAGUUAAAGUUUGAUUCAAUUGACUUAACAAAAACAUAAUUUAACUAAAAAGAAUUUAAGACAACAAUGUUUUAACAUUGUUAUUCAAAUAUUGAGACGAUGAUAUCUUGGAUCGAUCCGAGUUAACCCGUCAAAUACAUUAUGAAUGGUGGUAUAAAAGAGCACUUGCAAAUAUAAUAAUAAAAAAUAUUAUGGUUUUUUUUUAAAAAACUGAACGGUAUUCAAUAAAAAAAAUCUUAAAUAAUUUAAAAUUACAAGAAAAAAAUAAAGAACAAAACAUGCUAGAUGUUGGGGCUUGGGUGGGAAAGCACGCCUAACCCAUAAAAAAAAAGGAGGCCAAACAUACUUCUUAGCUACCGUUUAAUACUUCUUAGCUACAAUAGAAAAAAAAAAAAAGACUAGGGCUUUGUUUCGGCGUCAAUUUUGAUCUUCAGAGUUUUAAUUACGAUUGAUCAAAAAAAUUAAAUUAAAUUUUGUUAAAUCAAACAUCAAUUUAAUGUUGGAACCUUUUUCAACAUUGUGAGAAAUCUUUCCAAAGUUAACUGAAACAAAUUAUUAAGUUUAAUUUUAAAUAAACUAAAUGUAAAACGAUCAAAUUAUAAAAAUAUUAACUAAAAAAAAGGACAAAAAAAGAAAAAUAUUGUGUAAAUCCAUAGUGAACUCUCUUAUAGGCUACCAUUUAAUCUUGAGUCUUUUAGUUUUUUUUUUAAUUUAAUUUUAAUUGUUGUAAUAACAUUAUUUGACUGCAUUUAGUUUUAAUAGCAUUUAUGAUUAUUUAAUCUCUCUCUUUCCCUUUCUGAAUGUGUAGGCUGACCUCUCUUUUUUUUUCCUUUUAGAAAUUCUUUUUCAUCUUAUUCCAUUUAAGUAAAAUGCUUCUCUCUCAUUUAAUAAUUAUGUAGUAAUCAGCUUCUCUCAACCCAUGAUCUAACUUGAUGGUGAACACUUAUGCAACAAUCGAUAAUUUACUGUGAUUUAUACACUCAUCUCAUAAUGGUUCAUUGAAAUCUUUUAAAAGAUCAAGAAACCUGGUUGUGUUUGCAUUUGGUUCUUCAUCUACAAUUGAACAUUCACCUGCAUAACCUUGACUCAUUCUCAUCGCAUCCAUAAUCAUAUUCCUAUAAGAAUUAUUAUUGUUAUCUACAAAUCCAUGCACGUUGCUAGGAUUAGAAGUUGGCUUGGCCAUUUUUUUUACUAUGGUCUUGUAAGGAACAUAUGGCUCUUCGUGUGCAAACCAACACAGGUGUUUCUCCGUGAACCCUUUUUAUAAAAGAUGUAUCAUUACAACAUCUGGAUCGAGAAACUUUUAUUUCUUACGCCUCUUACAUGGACAUCUAAUACCGCAUUCACUAAUAUUUCUUGGAUUAGAUAAGGCGUAAUUAAUAAAACUCUCAACCCCAUUACAAUAAUUCAUCCUUUUUUUUGGAUUCGAGGAAACCCCACUCCCCGGAAAGCGCACUUUGUGGGCCUAGGUGAGCGAGUAAAACCCCGGCUGUCCCAGGCUCUUACAAGAGAUGCACACUCUGACUCGAACUCGAGACCUGCUGUACAGGUCUCAAGCCCUUUGCCAUCACGCUACGCCCCUUAAGGACACAAUUACAAUAAUUCAUCCUACGCAACUCUUCGGGUGAAUCUUGAUACAUCUAUAAAAGAUCAUCCAUUACUUAUAUCAAACCUAUAUAGAAUAUUGAUGACAACAUGUAUUAAUUAAUUAUGUCAACUAAAUAAAUUAGCAAAUAUUAGUUUAACUCAAACUUAUUCAAUCUAUUUUAAUAGUACUCUUAAAUCAUUAUCAAUUAUCUAUAUAAAUUCAAAUUCCUAUGCAUUUACUAAAAUUUUCUACUCAACAAUAAAAUUGACAAAAUAUAAAACGAGUCUAUUCAAUAAGUCAUUAUUUUUCUCAUUACAGAACACCUAAGUCACAAAUUUGAAAUCAAUUUCAUCAAAUUACAAAAAAAAAUAAAAAUAAUAUUCCAAAAUCUCAAACAAAUCCUAACAUGUACAAAUCAUACAUUCAUACAACAAAUUUCUAUGGAAAAAGGCUAUAAAACAAGCAAAUACACAAACAAACUAUAUAUACUACAAAAAUAUGCAAUAAAAACUAACAUUCUAAAAUUGAGUUAAAAAAAAAUAUGUAGUUUUACUUACUUGAUAUGAGGUGUUGUAACCCAUUUUUGGGUCCCCAUAAAAUAUAUAUAAAAAUAUAUAGCCAAAGGAGGUUAGAAAAAUAACAGGAGGCAGAAGCGCUCAUAAAAUGGUUGGAAAAUUGGUCAAUGAGGUUAAAAAUACAAGGAUGGAAUUUUUGAUAAUAUAUUCUUGAAGGAGGAGAGCCCUGUUGACAAGGAAAAUUUGAAAUUUGAGGAGAAAAGCCCAAAUUUGGAUGUUUAUGGACUUAAUUGGAUUUUUAAAUGAAUUUAUAGGAGAUUUGAUUGCAAGAAAAAUUGAUUUUUAAGUCAAUUUGGGCUUUAAUUAGAAGAAAUUUAAGUUCUGGGGCCAAAAUAUAUUUUUUAGGAAUUUAUUAGGUCAAAUCAGGGGCUUAAUUGCAUAAAUAUUGAAGUUUAAGGGCCAAUUGGGGACUUAAUUGAAGGAAUCCGAAACCAAGGACCAAAUUGAAGAAGGCGCGUAAGUAUAGGGGCUGGAAUUAAUUGAUUCAGGGGCCUAAUUGAAGAAAUUGGAAGUUUAUUGAUCAAUUAAGGGCUCAAUUGCAUAAUUCAGAGGCCAAGGACCAAAGUGAAAAACGCGGCCAAAUAUAGGGACGGGGUUCGAAUUCGGCAGGGAUGCAAUUGAAGGGACAAAAGAUAAUUAAGGGCUGCUUCGCAAAUUGACGCGUUUUGGCGUCUUGCAGGAUUUAAAUGAAACGGCGCGUUUUAUCCAAAACGACGCCGUUUCAUCCAUUCAAAAAAAAAAAAAAAAAAAAAAAGAGCAGAACGGUGUCGUUUUGAACGACACUGUUCAUCUUCUUCCCCCGAUCAUGCAGCGGGGAAGAAGGAAAAAGUUUGGCUUUAAUUUGAAUUCUGCCGGCCACUCUCUCGCCUGGAGCCCACCGACCGGACACAAUGGCCGACCACCCACCGCGCACCUACCAGAAAGCCGAGGAGGGGGGGCCGCGCCUUGGCAGUCGCGCCCCAUGGCCGACCGGCCGGUUGCUCCCCAUGCUCCACAGUACAAAGACACUCACUUGGCCCUAUAAAUAACAGCCAACACAGCAGCAAUGAAGGGGGGGGACGGAGAGAAAAAAAGAGAAGAGAACAGAGGGGAGGAGCAAGGAAAAAACGAAAAAACAGAGGAGAGAGAGGGGAAGAGAUAGAACGAAGGAGAGAGAAGGAAGAGAGGAGAACGAAAAAAAAAACAGCGAAGAGUAACGGGAAGAGAGGAAGGACCAACCCGAAAACAAAAGAAACCGAGAAAACAAAGAGAAAGGGAGGAACGGAGAGAACGAACCAAACCGUCGGAAACAGCCGCAGCGCCGCCGGGAGUCGCUGUCCGUGAACAAGUCGCCGCCACCAGCUUCCGCCACAGCACCGCCAGAAACGCAGGAAGCCACCGCCACCCCGCGCCAGGUAACUCUUCUCCCUCCCCUGUUCUGUUAUUCCUUUAUUUCCUUCUCUGCAUGCAGAACGAAUAGCGUUCUGCAUGCAGGGGUGGGGGGAAAUUAAUUCCCCCCGCCCGUUUUGAGUCUGGGCCAGGCGGGUCCUGGCCCAGCCCUGUCUUCUGGGCCGGGUCUGGCCCAGAAGAGAAUAUUUUUAUUUUGGGCCGAGAUCGGCCCAAUCCAUUUUGGGCCAAAAUCGGCCCAGCAAUUUUGGGCUGAGUCCGGCCCAGUCGGUUGGGCCGGACCAGCCCAGCCCAUUUAAUAUUAUAUAUUAUAUUAUAUAUAUUAUAUUUUGUAUUAUUUAUAUAGAUAUAUAUAUAUGAAAAAAUUACAAAAAUUCUUCAAAAAUUAUUUCAAAAAUAUGUGAUUUUCUGUAAUUUUAUUACUGUAUUUUGAUUAAUAUUGGUUGGUAUUUUAUACUGAAAAGAUACAAAUCCGGUAUUAACAUACCCGGUUUUCAUCAAAACAUCAAAGAUUUUCAAAAUAAAAAAUGUCUUUUGCUUUCAAAAAUUUUCUAAAAUAUCUUUGAGAAUAUUGUUGAUUUUUCUGCAUUUGCUUUAUCAAAGUAGAUUAAUAUUUGGUUGUAUUUUUAUACCGCAAGGAUACAAACCCAGUAUUAAAAAUACCCGAUUUGCGUCAAAACGUACAAAAUACAUAUUUAAAAAAUGUUUUGUUUUAAAAUACGGCCUAGUCUCUCCAAUAUAUAUAUAUAAAUAUUAUAAUAUCAUAUUUUCACACAACAAAGAAAAUUUCAAAAACAAUAUAUGUAUUAACAUGCAUUUCGGCUUUAAUAACCAGUUUAUUAAAGCCAUGAGAACUAGGCCAAUAUUUCAAAAAUUCUAAAAAAUCUUUUUGUCUUCUUUUAGAUUUGGGAUUACGAAUUUAUACAUAAAACGUAUUCCUGAUAUUAAAAAUAUGGUUUUUUUACAUAGAUUUUAGAACGGUUAGGUUUUACCCGAUAAGAUAAGGACCUCCUUAUUGAGGAGGACUUUUCUUGAACCGUAGACGGACCAACAACUAGGAAACACAACGAGACCUUGAAUUUUAUCAGACAAAUAAACAAUGCAGCUUACCUUAGGUAGGGCGUAUUUGGGGUGCUAAUACCUUCCCUUUACGCAACCAGUCCCCGUGCCCGAUCUCUGAGACCAGUUAGGGUUCCUAGUGACCAAAAUACUAGGUGGCGACUCCCACACCAUUUUUCACUACUAAGAGACAACGAAUUCCUUGUCUCCCCACAUUGACCAGAUAUAUACCCCCCCAUUCUAAAAUUGAGUUAAAAAAAAAAUGUAGUUUUACUUACUUGAUAUGAGGGAUUCUAAAAAAAUUUAAAUCAGAACAAGGAUGCUAGCAAACUGGGUGUUGUGAUGGCUAGAUUUAUGGUGGGAGAUUGAUUUGUGAUAAAAUGAGGGGGUCUGCUAUUUUUUGUAAAGUUGAUGGAAGAAGAAAAAAAAAUGGAGGAGGGGGAGAGGGGGUCGCUCGCCAAAUCAUAAUUUAAAAUUACCGAUGAAUUUAUGGAUGGAUUUCACCGACGAGUUCAAUUUGACAGUAAUUAUAUAUGUAUAAAUGACACGUCAUUGUAUCUAUUAGUUUAUUUUUAAUUUUUUCUAUUUUUAUUGUAAUUUUCUUGAUAUAUAAUAAGAGAAUAUUUUCAUUAGUGUUUACAAUGAAUAUUACAAGGAAAUUUUUCGUCAGUAUUUUUUUGUCAAUAUUUCCAUGCAUUUAUAUUUACUAAUUUUAUGUAGUGUGACAACCUUGCUCACCAAAACUACUCAGAACCCUACUACGUAUCCUCUGACAAUACAGCAAAGCCAAUAUAUAUAUAUAUAUAUAUAUAUAUAUAACAAAGCAAAGCCAACAUGCCAAGAAACCUGAUAGCCAAUCGCAUUAAAUUCUUCACCACAGUAAUAAGGGAUAAUUGAAAAAAAAAUAUAGUGUAAAAUUUUAUUGUGUUUUUACUUUCCCACCAUAAUUAAAAAAAUACAUUUAAAAUCCUAGGUCAAAUAAAAAUUUCAAAAAUAAUAAUAAGAAAAUAUUAUCAUAUAUAAUAUAACACAAAUAUUAACUAUAACUAUGAUAUCAAUUUCUUUAUACAAUUUCUUCCCUUUCCUUCUCUCCCAUCCCUUCUCAAUUAAGUUUCUAUAACUAAUAAUUAUCAACUUAUCUAUCAUUCAAUGUUGAUUAUAUAGGUUCCAAAUUAUAGCUAUUUGAUUAUAGAAUUAAAAAGUUAGUAAGCCAGAAGAUGAUUGCUUUUCAAAGUAAUUUUUGCUUGAAAAUACAUUAAAAUAAUAUAUUUUUUUUAAACUAUUUUUGACAUCAGAACAUUAAAAUAAUUCGAAAACAUAAAAAAAUAAUAUAAAAUAAAAAUAAAUAAAUAAAAAAUUUAAAACUUAAAAACAAACUAGUGAUAAUAAAAAGCACAACAUCAGAUGCAGUUAAGGAUUCGUAUAAGAUUUAAUCAAUUAUUUUUGGAACACGACAGUUAAAACCUUUGAAAUUGAAGCAUGCACCAUAAAAUGAUGAUGAUGGCCUUGCUGAACUGAACCAGAUUGCCUCAGGUUGUGGCUUACGUCGCCUUGCGUUGUGAUAGGAAAGACGUCUACGACAGCUUCGCUUCUUGUCAUCAAACUCUGACAAUUCACGGAACCUAAACAAAUUUUGCAUCCUAAAUGCAGCAGCAGCAGCAGACUUUAGCCGUAGAUAAUAACAUCAGAAAGCUUAGCAAAAGCAACAAAGCUAAAUCAUGGAGAUUAAAAAUGAAUAAUUACUAAGAAUUCCCCAAGAAUCAAGAUUCAUGAGAGAACCUGCCUGCUGCAAGAAUUCCCCAAGAAUCAAGAUUCAUGAGAGAACCUGCCUGCUGCACUUUUUUAUGGAUUCCUGAAAAGGAUUUGUGUUCAAGAAUUGAUCAUGAAUGAUAAUUUUGUUAUUUUGAGAUUUCAAAGAUUUUUUAGUCGUUAAAAUAAUAAUCUUGUAAAUAAUGAGAUAUAUUUAUUUAUUCCAAGAAUUUUGCGUCUUCUCAAUUAGGAUAUUUAUUCUGAGACUGAGAGGGUACGUAGAUAAAUUAUUUUGAAUUCAACAAUUUAACAUGACAUGAAAGGAACAUGCAUUAUAGAGAGGAUCUAAUUUAACAUGUCGUACAAUAAUAACUUAAUCUAUAGCCUUUUUUAUUUAUUUUCUUUUUAAUUUUGGUACAAUAAAAAGCUCUUCAAAUAUGUAGAAGAUAUAACAUAUUUAGAGUAUGAGAUGAGGCCAGCUUUCAACCGCCAUGAAUAUUUUCUAGUAAUUCCUUAACUUAUACUGCAUAUAGUUUAUUACUGAGUUGUUGCGUAAUUAAUUAAUUGGAAUAGAGAGCAUGUAUCCCAUCAAUAUCAUCCUGGGCGAGAUCUCUUUUCUUGCUUCCACGUUGUGUCGUUGGAUACAUGAUGGCUUCGGGAUGAUCUUUACUAUGAUAAAGGCCAAGCAGAUGUCCUAUUUCAUGAACAGUAACGGUUUCCAGGUCAAUUUGAUCCAUUGCCGGGUCAGUGCUCCAGUUCUCGUCUGCAUCGUAAUGUAGACGGCCGUCUUGUGGAUAAAAAGCAUGAGCCAGUUGAUUCCCUGGUCCAUCAAAAGGACUCUGGUCCCCAUGAUCGCCGCUGAAGAACUCAAUUACAAUAUCUGCUGAUGCACCGCCAGUCGCCUCCCGGAAAGUGAAUUUAGAAACCUUUGCCCAUGUCUGAAAAGCUUUUGAGCAGACCGACCUCAAGGUGUCCGAACCAACAACUUGGACACCUGAGCCAAAUCUGUAGGUCAGAGCAUACUUGGAAGGUGGCCACUUUUGUGCCCCGAAAGCAUAAUGAGCAACCACGUGGACCUUCUUGUGUUUUGAUUUAGUGCUGUUCGGUUUUGCGGACGGAGUGUUUAUGAUAUCAGGCAUUCCACAUCGUGGAAUCAUCAUUUGUUGUAUGGUACUAGAGUCAAGGUUACCAGUAACAUUCAGGUGAAAAUAUUCUUGAUAUGUUUUGAGUGCUAGCUCCAAGUGGUCAUCAAAAUCACUGCUUGUGAGAGUGAUAUCACUUGGGUAGUACCCAAACUUUUUGAGGUAUUGUUUGAGCUCAAUAAGCCCUUCCACAGUUUGGCCCUUUUGAAUCCCCUCCAGCCCUUGAAGGAAGCUGCUAAAAGAUUGCCGAUGCUCGGGUUUCAAAGUUCUUGCCUGACCUCUGAAGGACUGGAUAGAAAAGAUAACGAGGAUUGCUGAUAAAAGAUGGGAAAGUUUAGGAGCCAUAUCGUGUGUUGUUUCGGAGAAUGGCUUCAGACGUGGGUUGUGGCUUUCAAUUCUAGUAUCGGAUGGCUAUUUAUAGACAUAUAGUAUGUUGUAUUGGCAUUAGGACCAUAGUUAUAAAACCCGACCCGGUAGUUGACCCGGUAAAAUGACUGGGUCACGGGUCUUGGGGGUCAACCCGGGUUAACCCGGGUCAACCCAGGUCAAUAACAAAAGGAACACAUUAAUAUGGUUCUUUUGACAUAAAAUAUCACAUUAACAUAUAUGUUAGCAUAAUUAAUAAGAAAAUAUCACAUUAACAUAUAUACUAGCAUAAUUAAUUAGCAUCAAGGUGCAUUUAUCUUCAAAUAAAUAAAUAUUUAACAUAAUUUAAAGAUAUUAAAGAUAUGGAUAAUAAAAUAACAAGUUGUUCUAGAGACACAAAAUUUAACAUAAUAGAUAUAAGGGGACAAUAUUCAAACUCUAGUUUGCAUUAGAAUCUAUAAAUCAACAUUUUAACCCCAUUUUACAUUAGAAUCCAUAAAUCAACAUCUUCAGCUGCAUAAAAAAACAAAAGAUGAGUAAAAACCCAAGAGAGCAGCUACUGGCCUCAUCUGUGCCUUCUAGGAUCCGCUAGUAAAAAUGUCCAACAGAUAUCAAGUUCUAUAACAGUGUUUGAAAUUUGAACGUGAAACUUAUCAUAAAAAAUUCAAAUUUUAAUCACGGGAGCAUCCCGUGUAAACAAUAUUCUCUUUGUUUUUUUCCCCUUACAGCUAUGCUUUUUUCAUGCUUUUUAAUUUUUUUCCCCUUAUAGGACGAGCAAUCAAAUAAACCAAGAUGAGAAAUUAAGGAAACUGGGACUAUGAUAGACUGGGAAUGUAGAGAGAAGAAAUCACUAUGUUGUAUUCAACAUCAUGCCCAUUAUUGUUGCAUCAUGAAUCAGCUUCUUACUCAGUAUUAAUUCAAAUAAGAAAAUUAAAAAACUUGCAAUAUGGAACUCAUAGAAGCAAUGAGAAUAACUGCUCAUCAUCAUAAUAAUUUGAUAUUCAUCUUGCCAAAAAGCAUACAGGCAAUUUCAAUUCGGCAGAGUAAUGAUUGAUUCAUGGUACAGAGUAAUGACAGACAUGUAUGGCAGUAAUUGGUUUAAAUGAAUGUGCACAAAUUGGAUUAUUCCAGAUUAUAAUGUAAAAACAUCAUCAGAUAAAAGACUUGUAAAAAUAUUAAUUAUUCUAGAUUAUCAUACAGAGCACAAACCAAGAGGAGCAUGUUUUUUAUAAUGUAUAUUCAUUAAUAAAUUAUUAUGAAACUGUCCUGAGAAUGUUUGUUAUGAGAAAGUUAAAAAAAAAAAACAUGAAUUUAACAAAUAAUAAAUCAAUGACAGAAAGGGAAGUGAAAUGGGAGAUCCAAAAGGGGCUAGAAGAUUCAAAGACAAAAACCCAAAUGUGUAAAGCAAGUAGCAGAGCUGCAGAUGCGAAAAUCCAGAUGCGAAAAUCAUAAAAGCAAAUAAUUUGACUUGGACACAAUAUCAACGUAAAAGAGAUAGAGCACCUGUAGAUUUCUCCAAUGAACUCUCUGUUGAUUGUUGUCUAUUCUGCAGGAGAUACCGACAGAAGUAAAUCUCUUGGUUGUUGUCUAUUCUGCAAGAAAUUAGGGCAAAAACUCUAGCUUUCCUUUUGCUUUCCCUGAGUCAGUGAUCGUUCAAUAAAGUUAAUAUAUACACCGGUCUCACCCGGGUUAGCCUGGGUCGAACGGGUCACGGGUCGACCCACCGGGUCGACCGGGUUUGACCGGUUUUUUUCUUAGGCCGGUCUUUUGUCUUACCCGGAUCGGUCCAGGUCCCGGGUCGGCCAGGUCCCAGGUCGACCCGCCGGGCCGGUCCGAGUUUUAUAACACUGAUUAGGACUACAGAAUAUGUCUUGAGAUUUACUACUGUCCUUAUUUUUGUUAAUUCUAAUUGCUUAUUUUCAAAUAUUAAUUAUUUAGACUACAUUUGUCCUUCGAGCAUCUAAUUUAUUUAUUUUCUUUCAUAGUAAUCGAUGAAAUUACUAUCUAAAUAUUUGAGUUUAACUUUCAUUUAUAUGGUUAUUAUUAGAUAUCAUUAUCCAACAAAAUCAACAACCCUGAGGGGUAGCUUAACUAGUCAGGUCAUGAGUUUGCUCCUAAUGGUCACGGGUUCGAGUCCCCUCAGGGCCACUGGAGGCUUACAUGAUCAUUAACUUUAGGGCCCGUGGGAUUAGUCGAGGUACACGCAAGCUAACCCGAACAUUUAUGUUAAUAAAAAAAAAAGAAAGUACAUCUCUCUUCCGUGUCUCAUAAAUUUAAAUUAUUAAAUGACUAAUCCUAAAUUGAAUCAAAGUUUUAUUUAUCAUUUCAAUAAUUUUUUUUGUCAUUGUUAGUCUUGAAUGAUUAAAUAUAGUAUAUUAUUUUAAUAUAUCUUUUUUUUUAAUUCAUUUAAAUAAUGCUGCUGAGAAGGAGCACUCAAAAUAGAUGAUUAUGGGUUUCCAUAUGUAAACCAUACAAGAUACAUAUCACAAAGGUGAUGAUCUGAAAAGUCUGCAGUCUGCUCAUAGUGUGUAGACGACCCAAAAAGACAAGCCAUAAGAUGAAGGAGUGUCGUGGGACAUAUUUUGAAAACUAGAGAAGAUGGUGCAUAGUAUUCUUGGGCCUGGUAUCUCGAAGUGCCUCCCAAGCUGAAUCAAUAGUGAACCUCUUCAAAGAAUGACCUCUCCAAACAUAGUGAUCUGAAGAGUUAAUUGGGCAUGGAAUCUAAUGCAGUCCCAAAUUUGUUAGAGGUCCUAACUAUCUAAAGGAAAGUCCCAACCACCAUCCUUAAUAAUGUAUGCAUCCUUUGCAUCCCAAGAUAAUCCAGUAGAUGAUAAAGUCUUGAAAGGCAAAAAGUCACAAAAACAUUGUCCAUAUGACAAAUAAUAAUCUAGCCAUAGAGAAGUUAGAGAGCCAUCACCAAUGCAAGAUACAAACAUACCUCUACACCAAUCUUGACUAUGAAAAAUCUUUCGCCAUAACCAAAAAGAUACCAAAGGUAGCCUAUAAAAAAUGAUCUCCCUCUGAGCAAUACAGAAUGCACCUAAGCUAACCAAACUGAGGAUCUGUUUGAAAGUAGCCUCCAAAUAUGCUUGAGAAUAGCUGCUCUAUUUCAAGUCUUAACCCUUUUAAUCCCAAGUCCACCCUCCUGCAGAGGAUAGAAAACUAAAGCCCAAGCCGCUUUUACCCCUAAAAGGGAAGUAGAUGAACUGUUCUAGAGAAAGGCAAUUAACAUGCCCUCAAUCUCCUAAUAAUAGAACAAGAAAGGAUAAACAUAGUAGACCAAUAUUCCUGGGAUGGAAAAGAGAACAUAUUUGAUCAGUUGCAAACGACCAACAUAUGUAAGAGAUGUCGAGGUCUAUAACCUGAUCUUCGAGAGAAUCCGCUCAACCAAAGCCAUGCAGUCACUAUGUUUUAACUGGGUAGUAAUAAAAGGAACCCCCAAGUAUCUGAUCGGCAAGGAGCCCAACCUGAAACCUAAGAGAUCCAAACGAGAUGCUUUCAAAUCAUCAUCUAUACUUGAUAUGAAAACAUGGCUCUUCUUUAGGUUGUUCAUCAGCCUUGAUAACACAACAAAGUCAUCCAGAGCCCUCCUCACAACACCCACUGAAUCUGUGUUUGCCUAACAGAAUAUCAUAAGGUCAUCAACAAAGCAUAAAUGAGUAAUACUCUCGUGUUGACACCUCAAGUGAUAGUGGUAUCUCUAGUUCUGGGUAGCCUUUCUAAGAAUACCACCAAGACUUUCAUAGCCAGCACAAAGAAAGUCAACUACGCGUUCGCUUUGGUUGCGAGACAGCUUGAGGGCAUACAACAUGUGCCAAAGAUGACUAAACUAUCACAAUUCUCUAGGUUAUUCAAAGACAAAUCCACUUUAAAAGUCAAUGAAAACAUCAAACAAGAUUGGAAGCUUCUGGUAUUGAUAAAAAAAUAAAUUAGAUGGUUUGAGAGAUCCAGUCACUAGUGAAAAAUACCCGAGGUGGAUAAAUCUAUCAUUGGUGACUUUCUUCACGAAUCUCGAAUUCAAAAUGGAAACUUCACAAGCUGCUGAACUAAAUAAGAGAGAAAAAAAUUAACAAUGAGGACGAGCUGAGAGAACAACUGGAAAAGCUCUAGGUAGAAUUGGGCACCAAUAAAGCCCUCAGGAUCUCCCUCGAGGAAUAACUCUUCACUGAAGAGAAACUGAGGAAGUUUGUCGAGUAACAAUUGAUAGAAAAAGACAAAAUAGUCAUGUCUUUAGAGAAGCAGCUGAGAGAGGGAAAAGUGGCUAGCAACCGAGUUGAGAAAGAGCGAGGAGAAUUGGGAAAAAGUUGGAUGCAAAACAACACCGAAUUUAAGACAUUGAAAGCCAAUUUCAAUGAUUGCCAAGAAAGAGCUGAUAUGUCUUCAAGGGUCCAAACAGAAUUAGAAAGCCGGAUUGAACAAUAUGAGCAGUUAUACAAAGAACAUGUGAUGCUUGAAAGUGAGUUGGCUGAAGAAAAAGCCAAAGAAAAAGUUGUUGGGAAUUCCAAGAUUGAUAAGAUCAACUUGUUAAAAAGAGCUUGAUAACGAAAAAUCAGGGCAAAACAUUUAGAGGAGAAAAAUAGGUUGUUGGAGCACCAUAAUCAGAUGAUUGAUACCAAGAAUAAUCAACUGGAUAGGAGCAACAUGUUGCUCUUAGAAAAGAUGAGUAACAUGGAUGAGCAUAUUGAUUGAGCUUUUAUCCAUGCUCGAAGAAUUCAUCUCAAUGCUCAACAAGUUGGGAGAGUUCUUCACUGAUAUCAACCAAGUAUAGUUGAAAAUGGUGCUUUUCUUAGGAAUAUAGGAAACAAAAGCUUUGUUUUCCCCCUGUAGAUGAUGAUGAAUGAACUGAUCCUCAAAUGUAAAAACUUUCACUGAACAUUAAUGAAAAGGGCUUGGACCUAAUCUUCUCAUCAUCAUUUUGUAUUGAUGAGUAUAAAUAUUAGGAAUUGGCUCAAAUCAAAUUGCCUCGAUAAUUAUAAAAGGAUCAGAAAUCUUACCCAAAUGAUGACAUAUAUCAGUCCAGAAAUUUGGCUAAUCCACAUCCAAACAUGUAUCAUCAUGCAUAAUUAUACAUUCAUAUGCAAUUGUGUUUAUGAAUUUCAAAAUGUGCCCAAUAGGUAUUUGAAAUAUAGGUCCCCCUACUAAAAUCUAUAAUACCAGGCUUCGUAAAAGGAUGUAAAAUGAAGAAAGGGUUGACUACCAAAAAGAGCUGGAUGAUGUUAAGAAUAACAUGGCUCGGGUGACUAGUUUACUCGACCAACUCUUGCGAGCAUAGUUAGGGGAAGGGACAUCCAGUCAUCAUUUGAAUUUGUUAUCGCCGUUAGCAGCUCUAGUUAUCAUUGACCAACAAAACUUGGAAACAAAUCCUACCACUAGACCACAAGGAAUAACAAGAAAUUCAAUGACUUACCCAAUUAUGCCUGCUCAAGUACCGACCAUAAUAGAUCUAACUAUGAGGGAAUUCCAUGGGGUUAAAUCUUUUGGUGACCCUAAACAAGAUAAGUGGGUUGCUUGGGAGGAGAGGUUUAGAGUUGUUAAGGGAUUUGAUGUCUGUGACUUGGUUAGAGCAGUUGAGAUAUGCCUAGUACUAAAUGUAAUGAUACCUAAAGAGUUUAGAGUACCAGAAUUUGUCAAGUACACAGAGUUAGAAUGCCCUAAUACAUACCUAAGGUCAUAUUAUAAUAAAAUGAUGGAGGUCAUAUAUAAUGACAAGUUGCUCAUCCAUUUCUUCCAAGACAGCUUGACUGGUUUCGUCUUAAAUUGGUAUAUGACUUUAGAUAAUACAAGGCAAUACAAAUUCAAUAUUGAUAUCAUUUUAGACUGGACAAGUUUAAUAGUGAUGGAGAAGGGCAAUAAAGAAAUAGUGAGGGGGUAUGCUUAUAGAUGGAAAAACAAGGCAAUGCAUGUAUAAUUGUCUUUGUUAGAAAAAGAAAUGGUGACUUUAGUCGCCAAUACUUUCAAAUCUCCAUACUAUGAGUACCUGAUGGGUAGCUUUACCCAACACUUUUAUGAUGUCAUGGUUAUUAUUGGGAGAAUAAAGUAAGGGAUAAGAGCCGACAGAAUAUCAGAACCCACUAAGAAGGAAGGGUUUACUAGGAGGAAAAAAGAUGUUGAGGUAAGCAAUAUAGAAGAAGGGUACAUGGGUAAAAAGGAUUUCCAAACCCAAAGCUAUCACAUCCAAACCUAUUAAGCCUUGUCUCUUAAAGUACACAAUAUCAGCUUUGCCAAGUCUUUUAUAGUAAAUCAGCCUACCAACCCAUAAAAAAACCAAACUGAAAACAACCCAAAAAGAACAUACCAAAGAAACCAAGAACAACUCCCACCUUUACCAAUACCUCUAGGGAAAAUGUAUGCAAAACGGUUAAGUAUAGGUCAUGUGACCCCUCUUCCUUUUCCACCAUUUAAACCUCCCUUUCCAAGUUGGUAUAAGUCAGAAUUGACCUAUCACUACCAUGCUAGAAAUCUUAGCCACAUCAUACACUUGCUCAGCAUUUAAGAAGAAGCUCUUGCAAUUAUUCAAGGCAGGGUGAAUAACUUUUAAAGAUACCCCAACAUCAAUUUCAACCCUUUACCCAAUCAUGCUUCUAGUAGUGGAGGAGUAAACAUUGUGGAGUAUGAAGGGAAGAAAAAGCAAGUUUUAAGGGUAAACAUGGAUAAGCUAUAAGACAUGUUGUUGUAAGCCGAGUAUUUUCCAGUAAAAAAUGGAUCAGGUCCAAAAAAGGAUGAUGGUUUUGGUAGGUUCCACAAAGCGAUGGGACAUAACAUUGAGGGAUGUGAGGAGUUUUAGCAGAAGGUGAUAUAAUUGAUAACUUUUGAUCCUUUACAAAUAAAGAAGGAGGAAGAGGAUGAUGUGUGGGCAUGAUAAGUUUAUUAGGGAAGAAAGUAGAAGUGUGUAGGAUCCACCGUACUGAGAGUGGUCCACUAAAACUUGUUUUGACAAGAGCUACCUUUUGAGGAAAAGUUGUUGACCAUACACAUUUUUUAUUCUUCUGAUUCUAGAAAAACCAAAGCAAACACCCAUCAAGAUGGAUUGAAACUCCUUUAAAUAUUGUUUUUUAUUGCUUAAAUCUCUUUCAAAAAAACUUUGUAAUGGCUAUAAAGUGAAGAAAAUGGUUUUUAUGAUGGUUUUUUUAGUGGUUUGAUGAAAAAUUUGGGUCUAAUGUAUGGUGUACAUGGUAGAAUAAGUGAAGGGUAGUUUAUGUUCUUAUAUAAGCCUUGGCUCAUUAAUGAAGCUCAAUUAUCUUUAGCUUCUUGUGCCACUAGAACAUUUAAUGGCCUUAAACUGCCGAUUAAUUACUUUAUUGGAUUGAUUAAGUCAUCUCUUUAGGUCUAGGUAUAUGAUAUGACCCAUCACUUUAUUGGACUAAAAAAGGAUGGGUCAAACCUUAAGAAGUCUAAUUGACUUAACUACACCAUAACAUACUAGUCUUUAGAUUAAACAUAAGGUUUCCACAUAACCCAAUACGACAACACACUCGAGUAGAGGAGCAAACCAACUCCAAAACACAAGUUAGAAUAGGAAGGGCGUAACCCAAAAUUAUUCUAUCCACUCUCUCUAUAGUUGAUAUCAAGCGUUAAAUGCUCUCAUGUCCUCCUAUUAUAAUUAGGCUCAUAGAUUGGUGUUAGGGAUGCCCAUAGCCAGUGGAUAACCCAUAUGAUAUCAUUUCUUUACUCAAUAGUGAAUCACCAACCAUAAGAAUGUUAUCCUAAGUAAUUGCAACUAAUGUAUGUUUCAUAUUAUUUUCCCCUCACUUUAUCCUUAAUUUCAUGCAAGUUGGCAUGAUUUAUGGCUAUAUAAAUAUCUAUGAAUCACCAGGUAAGGCAAGUUCCAAUAACAUAUUUCUUAGUGCAUAUUUUUCCUCUUCGUAACUACAUGUCAUUACGACCCUGUUUGGGGUUGCGUUUGCACUAUAAUUUUAGUAAAUUUUGAAAUUUCUUUCUUCAAAUUAAUUUUUGUUAUGUAUUUUUAAAUCGUUUUGAUGUGCUGGUGUCAAAAAUAAAUUAAAAACAAAUACAAAAAUAUAUUAUUUUAAUGAAUUUCCAAACGAAAAACAAUUUAAAAAGCAACCUCAACCACACUUUCACAUCUCCUUUAAAUUUAGCAAACAUAUAUACUACACGAACUUGAAAGGCUUUAUUCCUUUUAUAUUUGUGAUAACUUAAGUAUUUGAGGAUCUUUUACGCUAAAAAGUAUUUGUCUUCGGGUAUUCAUGAUUUCCAAUGUUUUUCAACAAUCUACUUCUAAAUUUUCAGCCCAUUUAUUAAUCUUGAAAAGGUCUUAAUCUUGUGUGGUUUUCCUCACCCUCGUAAAAAAGAAAGUAAAUUAACAUGUCCUUUGCUCUUAUAUUUACACCUUAAUAAACACGAAUCCAUCCUAUGUCUUCCUCGUAAAAAGAACAAUGCUAAAUAAAUUACAAAGUAUUGAUUUCUUGGAGAGAAAAAUAUGGUACCUGCAUAAUUAAUGCCGAAAACAUGUGAAUAAAUUAGAAAGAAAGGAUUUUAUAUUAGCCAUAGUUUCAUAUAAAAAUGUGAAUAGUUUUGUCUUUAUUAAAUUUCCGGAAGUAUAUUCAAAAUAAUCAUCAAGUAAGUGGCCUUUGUUUCAUAACCUAAAGCACCGGUCUUCUUAUCAACAGCAGAAGCAAUCCUUUUUUUUUUUUUUCUUUUUUUUUCUAUUUAUAGGCAAAAUAGUACAAGGAACGCCUAUGAAGAGGCAGCAGGAAAUUGUAGCUAAAGGAGAUUAAAAACAAAUCACACUAUAUUACUAUCAAAACUCAUGCCACUGCUUCUGAUGAAGUACUGCUUCUAAAGCGCAAGACUUCAUCAGAAGCAGAUACCAAGACCAAUCAACUAGAGAAAAUUCAAUCCUAUGGGAGCAUCUUGGGUUUUCCUUUAUGAUGGGUAUCGUAUGUCCACAGCGUUACAACUGGAGUUUUGCUAGCUCCGCAUCAAACAACUCAUCACGUCGGUAUUAUGUAUUCAUCCUCGCCGGGCCAAGGCAAAAGUGUCGUCUUCAUGAUACCGAUUUCUCUUAUAAGGUAUGGAAAAUAUCGGCAUCAAUUCCAUCUCCAUCUCCAUCUCCAUCUUUCCUUGCAUCAAAUUUUUUGUUUGAUCUUUUGAGCCAGCAGUUUGGACCCAAUGAUGUAAGGGUAAAUAAUGAUUCAUGGUCAUCAGCAUGUGUAUGGGAUUUGGUAUUCAGACUUCUUAUGUUUACUCGUAUCCUCGGACGAAUCUUGAUGUCUUGUCGAUGCAGUCUGGCAACAGGAAGUCUAUGGGUUUUGGCUGUAAAUGGCGCCGAGAGAGCCCUACCAUCAAAGGCAAUAUCGUCUUCAGUUUCAUUAUCGUUUGUCCUGUUUACCUUUUUUAUUACGGACGAAAUGGUUUGACCUUCGAUUCCGGAUCAUUCUUUCUUGUUAGAAAUUUGUCUUAGAAAACUUGGCGUUAAGAAAUUAAAAGUAGAGUACACUUAUUUUUAAAUUUAAGAUGAUUGAAAAUUAUUUUUCUGACAAAAGUAUUUUUACAUAAAAUAUUAACUUGUCUAAAAUAAAUUAUGAAUAAAUAAUAAAUUAAUUUUAAAUAACUCUUAAUUAACAUAUUUUUUUAAAAAUUAAAAGCACUCAAUCUCACAUUGGGCACAAAGAACACCAAAGUUUUUAGAUGGGAAAUGCCCUAAUCUAAGUGGGCUUAGGGCAUAAUUCACACGCGCUCGCUAAGCUUGACUCGACAUCGAGCUCAAGCUUGGGGCUUGGGCUUGUUAUAAAAUAAUUUUUUGACCCAUAAAAAUUUAAUUUUUGCCAACCCUUAAAUAAAUAAUUUGAAUAGUUUAUUUUCAAAAAUAAAAAUAUAUGGUUUUUAAGGAAAAAAACUGUUCGGUUUUUUAUUCUUUUUAUGGUAGGUAAUUUAGGUAAAAUAGCAAGAAGUAAUUUUGGUAAUUAUUAGAGUUAAUUCCAUAUUAGUUUUUGUUCUAAAAAUCGGUAUAAUAAGGAGUUGAAGAAGAGAUGUUUUGUAUAACUUGCAAUAGUUUUUUUUUCUUUUUCUCCAUAGUUUUUUCAUCUUCCUUAACAUGAUCUUGCCUUGUUUUUACUUUAUUCUAGAGCUUAGGUUCUAGUACUUUAAGAGUGAUUCAGGGUCUUCUUAUUUUUUUUACACUAUCAGAAAAUCAAUGAAUACAAAUAGAAACACCAACGGAAAAAAUACAUCAGUAUUUUGUGGUGAUAUUUACCGAUCAAAUUUUUUCAAGUGCUAACUCUGUUGAUAAAUACUGACGGAAAUAUAUCAUCGGUAUAUACCGAGGGAAUCCCAGUUAGAAUAAAAGGAAUUAAAAAAACCAAACAGUACGAUAAUGUGUAAGUUUUUAUAGAUGCUUUUACCGAUGGAAUUACAGUUGAAUUCAAACAGACAAGUCGUACAGUGACGUGUCACUUAUACCGAUAUAAAUGUCGACGGAUUGAUAGACGAAAUAAUUUUAUCGGUAAAUCCAUCGGUAAUAUUUAAUAUAUGACUUGACGCUUGACCCAGCUCUCCCCCUCCCCUAUUUCUCUUUUUUUCAAAGCAGCCCCCCCACCAUAUCCCCUCUCAUCUCAAUACAACUCAUUCUUCCGUAAUUUUUCAGUUACAACAACACUCUAUUUGACAGCAUUCGUGUUCCGGUUGAAAUUUUAUUGGGGAUUUUUCAUCUUAAGUAAGCAAAUCUAUCCUUUUUUAUUGCAUAUUUUUGUAGUAUAUGUAUUUUGUUUGAAUGUUUACUUGUUUUAUUAUUUUUUCUCAAACAAACUUGUUAUAUGGAUUUAUGAAUUUGUACAUGUUAUGGUUUAUUUUAGGUUCUGUAAAAUUAUAUUUGUUUGCAAAUUGUUGAAACUUAUAUCAAAUUAUCGACUUAGGUGUGUUGUAAUAAAAUAACUAAUGACUUGUUUAACGACUCUAUUUUAUAUUUUUUUAAUUUUAUUGUCGAGUUGUAAUUUUUGUUAACGUGUACAAAUUUGUAUCUACAUAGAUAAUUUAUAAUGAAUUAAGAGAAGUAUUAAAGUAGGUUGAAUAAUCUUGAGUUAAACCAAUAUUUUUGCAAAUUUAUUUAGUUAACAUAGUUAAUUAAUACAUGUUGUCAUCAUUAUUUGAUAUAAGUUCGAUGGACGUCAUGGAUGAUCGUUCAUGAAUGUAUCGAGAUUCACCCCAAGGAUUGCGGAGGAUGGAUUAUUUUAAUGGGUUUUAGGGUUUUAUUAAUUAUGUAACAUCUAAUAUGAGAAAUAUUAGUGGAGGCAGUAUUAGGUGUUCAUGCAAGAGGUGUAAAAAUAAAAAGUUUCUCGAUUCAGAUGAUGUAAUGAUACAUCUUCUACACAAAGGGUUAAUGGAGGAAUACUUGUGUUGGUAUGCACACGAAGAACCAUUUGUUCCUCACGAGACCAUGGUAGAUAGGAUGGUUGAGUCAACUUCUAGUGCUAGCAACGUGCAUGGAGUUUUAAAUGACAACAACAAUCCUUUUUAAGACUAUGGUUAUGGAAACGAUUAUAAUGAAUCAAGGUCAUGAUGGUUAAUGUCCAAUUGUAGAUGAAAAACCUAAUGCAGACAUUGCCAGAUUUUUUUGAUCUUUUGAAAGAUUCUGACGAGCCAUUAUGGGAUGGCUGCACAAAUCACUGUAAAUUAUCGGUGUUGCACACGUGUUUACCAUAAAAUUGGAUUAUCGGUUGAUAAGGCAGGUUAUGACAGAAUUGUCAAAUGUGCGAGAAGUAUUUUACCUGAAGGGAAGAGGCCAAAAGAAAAUUUCUAUGCUGCUAAGUCUAUGAUGAAACCCCUUGGUCUAGGAUACCAGAAAAUUAACAUGUGUCCAAACUUUUGCAUGCUAUACUACCUUGAAAGUACUGAGCUAACCAAGUGCAGGACAUGUGGGCAUUCCCGUUAUAAACCCAGAACUAGUAGGGGAAAGAUUCUUGUUGCACAAAAAAAACUUAGAUACUUGUCAAUCACAUCAAGAUUACAGAGGUUAUUCAUGUCACUAAAUACUGCUGAGCACAUGACAUGACACCAAUCACAUAAUACGAUGGAUGAAGUGAUGACACACCUUUCCAAUGAUGAAGCAUGGAAACACUUUAAUAAUGUGCAUCUUUACUUUUCAGUUGAAUCAAGGAAUGUGCGUUUUGAGUUAGGUAUAGACAGAAUCAAUCCAUCCGAAUCAUUUGCUACUCCUUUUUCUUGUUGACCGGUUAUACUCACGAUUUACAACUUGCCACGAGGGAUAUGUAUGAGGUAGGAGUUCAUGUUUUUAUCUAUAUUCAUACUUGCCACCAGGAAUAUAGAUUUUUUGUCUUCAACUAUUGAUUGAUGAGUUGACGUAGUUGUGGUCCUUCGGGGCUUUGAGUUAUGAUGUAUCGAUAAAACAAAAUUUUCUUAUGAAGGCAGCUUUAAUGUGGACUAUCAAUGAUUUUCCAGCUUAUGGAAUGGUUUCUGGUUCGAGCACGUAUGGAAAACUAGCAUGUCCAUACUGCACAAAAAAUUACUAGGCAUUCACGCUAACAAACAACGAUAAAAUGUCUUUUUUUGACUGCCACCGAUGUUUUUUUGCCAACGGAUCACAGGUAUAGAAAGAACAGAAAGGAUUUUAUUAUUGACAGAGUUGAAAAGGAUGUUCCACCCCCGUGUGUUUCUGGUGAAGAAUUAUAUGACGUGGUGUCAGAGUACGGUGAUAUUGUGUUUGGUUUUCAAUCCUGUAAGCAGAAGUUUUCGAGUUUUGGUUUGACCUACAAUUGGGUAAAACAAAGUAUUUUAUAGAAGCUUUUUUAUUAAAAGACCAAUCUCCUCCGCCACAACCUUGAUGUCAUGCACAUAGAAAAGAACGUGUUUGAGAAUAUUUUCAAUACGGUCAUGGACGUGAAGGGGAAGACAAAGGAUAACAUCAAGGCUAUAUUGAAUAUAGCUUUGUUAUGUAACCGUAAAAAUAUGUAGUUGGUUUAUGCUGGGUCAUGGGUUGUAAGACCCAAAGCAAGCUUCGCUUUAGACAAGAAUACACAACUAUUAGUCUAUCAAUGGCUUAAGAGUUUGUGUUUUCCCGAUGGACAUGCCUCGAACAUAUCAAAGUUUGUUAAUUUAGAGGAUUGCAAAUUGUAUGGAAUUAAGAGCCAUGACUACCACGUGUUUAUGCAAACAUUAAUUCCAUUAGCUUAUCGUAUUUUAUUGUCAAAUGGGAUAUGAGAUGCACUCACGGAGAUCAAUUAUUUCUUUAGAGAUAUAUGUUCCAACAAGUUGCAGGCACAACACAUUGAGAAGCUUGAAAUGAAUAUCGUCUAGACAAUAUGUAAACUUGAGAUGAUAUUCCCUCCAUCAUUUUUUGACUCGAUGGAGCAUCUACCCAUACAUUUACCAUAUAAGGAAAAAAUUGGAGGCUUAAUUCAGUAUAGAUAGAUGUAUCCAUUUGAGAGGUUAGAGAUUACACAUGCAAUGCAAUUAAAAAAGUAUUUUCAUUGUUUUUGUUAAUUGAAAACAUUCGUUUAAUUCCAUGCAAGUACCUUUUUAACCUUUAAAAAAAGGUUAAAAACAAAGUGUAUGUUGAAAUUUCAAUAUGUGAGGCCUAUAUUGUUGAUGAGAUCUCAAAAUUUAUCUCCUACUAUUUUGAGCCUCAUUUAAGAACAAGAAUCAAUCACGUUUCAAGGUAUGAUGAUGGUGGUGAAGUGCCUUUAAGUGGGAACUUGUCAAUAUUCUCAAAUUCUGAACGACCCGCACUAAAAAGUGUUGUUAGGGGAAGAUAUUUAUCUGAAAUAGAAUUCAGAUAAAUAUAUAAUUAUAUGCUAUUUAACUACGAUGAACUGAGACCUUUUAUUCAAUAAGUAGAAUACUCAACUUUGUUAUUAAUAGACUAUUUAUCUCUUGUAAUAUCACAAACUUAUACAUUGUUAAAUACCUCGUAGGCAACAUCGUUAAUAUUUACUGUCUAAUAACUCACAAUAGAUUGAAUCUCAAAUCUUUCGAUUACAAGAUGAAUAAUUUACCACGUGGUUCAAAAAACAUGUAAGUACUAUCACAAACUCAUUAUCAAUCAUGAUACUUAAUUUCGUUAUAAAAUUCUCGUUCACUAUUCACUGUUGUACUUGAUGUACCACGUUUAUAAAUUGGAAGGGAAUGCUAGUGCUACAUUGUCUUUACUAAGUUUAGGUCUUGAAAGAUAGGUGAAGUGCUACAACAUGUAUUUUGUCAAUUGAUACGUGUUUUAUAUUAAAGAAUAUAGGCAGGGUAGAAAUACAUAUGACAAUGAGAUUUAUGUUAAGAGAUCGACUUUUAGUGAGUUUGAAGUUGACUAUUAUAAGAAAUUAAAAGAGAUAAUUGAAUUGCAAUAUCAUAGCAAGCAUAAUAGAGUAUUUUUAUUCAAAUGUUAUUGAUAUGACACCGCUGACUAAGGAAUCAGAGUAAAUCCCCAUCAUGGUUUAGUCGAAAUUAACUCAAAAGCUAGACUCCGCAAUGUCAACAAUUUCUUUGUUUUUGCUAAGCAAUGUUAGUAAGUUUAUUACACAUACACCCCUUCUUCAGAAAAGAUUAUUCAAGAGUUGAUUGAUUAUCCGUAUUGAAAACCAAACUCAGGGGUCGUGUCGAGGUUGUUUAAGAUGAGAACGAUGACUCAAAUAUGGGAGAUGAUGUUUUUCAAGUUAGUGAGUUAGUUGAACUAUAUCGAGUUGCUCUAUCGAUUGACUUAUAAGAAAAUUUAAAUUUUCACGUCUUCAAUAAUAUUUUUGUUAAUAUUGACGUUGAGGAGUUAAAUGUUGUUCUCAGCUCCAACGGACAAGCACAAGUCCAUGAAGAUGAUGGUAACAAUGAUAUCAACGUAGAAGAUUAUGAUGGAGCUGGCGACGAGUCAAUUAAAGAAGAAGAAGACAAUUCUGACUAAUUAUCAAAACAUGGAACUGUAAUGCCAUAAAUUAUAAUAUAAUAUUUAUUGAUGAAAUUAUCUACAAAGAAGUAUUUAUUUUAUUAUUGUUAUGUAAACUCGUAUUAUUGUGUUGUGCGUGCAACUUUCAAUUUAAGUAUUUGCAGGAUGGAUAUAUAGGAAAUACAAAUAUAAUCUGGCAUCAGACACUGUUUAACUUGGAUAUACAUUAAAACAAUAUUUUUUAUUUUUAAAAAAUUAUUUUUGAUAUCAAUAAAUCAAAAUAUAUAAAAAAAAUUUAAAACUUUUUUUUUUCAAAACUUGCCCAAAUUUCAUUUGGAACACAAUAAGAAACGAGAGGCUACCAUCAAAUGCAAUAUCGUAUUCAGCUUCAUUAUCGUUUGUCCAUUCCACCACGAACCAAAUGGUUUGCCCUCCGAUUCAGGGUGAUGCAUCUUUCAGUCAGCAUUAAGGCUCGGUAAUUAUAUUUCCUAUGAUUAAGAAACUUUUGGAUCUAUUCCCACUCCAUAAAGAUUUUAUUGUUAUUAAACUUCUUCAAUCUUUAUAUUUUCUCUUGAAGUGAAAGCUAAGGAUAUCUACAAAUAAAAGAAAUUCCGAACCUAACAAAAAAUUGAAGUGUACAUUAAACUUAUAAUUGAAUUUGGCCUUGUUGCUUAAAUUCUGAUUCUUUAUAUAUGAUUUUAUUGAUAUUUUAUUGCAAAAUAGAUUAUUACAUCUCAUCAUUUUAUAUAUCAUCAUUAAUUCUUUUUAUUAAAAAGAAUAUUUUACGGCCAAUUUAUUUCAUGACAAUGAAUGAAUUUAUUUAACAUAUUAACGAUUUUUACUUUAUUGAAAAUAUAUUUUAAUAAAAAAAUUUAAUAGAUAGUUAUGAUGUUAUAUUAUUAUGAAAUAUAAAUAUAAAUAAAAAAACUCAAAGAAGGUAAGUUUUAUCACUCAACAAAUUUAAAAUGGAUAAAAAUAACAAUUGGAGUGUGAAUAGCUAGUGCUUUCAUUCUUUUUAUGAGAAUUAUGGUGUACUUUGAAUUGGUUUCAAAAUCUAAUGUAGAAACUCCCUUCAUACUAUGAAAUAAUUUGUCUUUGUCAAUUGAAUAUAAAAUUAAAAAAUAGCAAAAGAUAUUACCUUUGGAAACUAAGAGGAUAAUCUUUAGAGAAGUCCCCCUUCCCUCUCAUCAAAUUAUAUUAAAAAAUUAUGGAAUCAAAUUUUAAUAUCUUUUAUAGAAUUUGAUAGGGAAUUAGGGCCCAUCUUCAAGAUAGAGAUUAAAGAGAAAAUCAUUCUUAAAAAAUGAAUAUCUCCACUUUAGAAAUAAGUGUUUUGAUUUAUAUCUCCUCUUGAUAUCUAUUUUUCUCUGUAAAAUAAAAAUUAGUAUUCAUUAGUUACUACUGAAGUAACACAUGAAAUAUUUUAGUGAAUUAGAUCAAUUAAUCUAAAUUUCUAUAUUUAAAUAUUGCACUUGACCCGAUUGCAAUUGUGAUUUGAUUUCAGUAUAAUUGACGAAACCCAAAUGUGCUCAUUAAUUGUUAACAUCGAAAGUUUAAAAAAGUUGAAUGUGUUAAAAUCACUCGAAACCUAUAUAAAUAGAUACAUAUGAUUAAAAUGAAAAAACGAAGAGACACAAAAUAUUUAUAAUUCUUCCAAAUAAGUUUUAUUUAAUUCAACAAUUUGUUUAACAAUACUAAUGAUGUUGUUGAGUAGGAUUAUAGUUGAUAAUAAUAAAUAAUUGAUGAAAUCUUCAUGUUAAAACAAUACUAAUGACGAGAGGGAAGAUUGAAAAACAGAGAGGAAUUGUUUUGAGAUAUAGAGACGAGAAAAGAGAGAAAAUAGAGUAGAAGAGAGAAGAACCUCCACCGUCUGCCUUCUUCAAUAUUGCCGCCAUGAGAACCGCCUUGAGCCACUGUCGACAGCAGCUCUGUAAACCCCCGGUUAUAAUUUUUCUGGGUAUUUAAAAGAUGAGAAAUUUAACCAAUAGUAAAAGGGGUUAAAUUAAAUUAAAGAAACCUAAAUCAAGAUAAAAAUAGUGAAAUUAAUGAAAUGAAAAGUCAAUAUAGUACUAAAUUAUUGAAAAGAAAAACAUUUGUGAGGACAAAAUGAAUAUGUAAAAUCAAGAGAGGUCAAUAUUCAAAUAACAGAAGGUUGGGAGUUUAUGUACAAAUGAUAAAAAGGGGUGGGGAUAAAUGUGCAAUUAACAAGAUGUUAGAACUAUAAAUAUCAUUCUAUUUUCUCUCUUGGAGGAACUGACAAGAGUAAGAGAGAGUUUAGAGAGAGGCUGGACAGAAGACAUAUUGAUGGCAGAACAUCCGACAGCUAUAACUCCACCUUCCACCGUUGGAUCAGAACGAUAUUCAGAUAUAUUAUUCUCAUCCAUGUCAUGUACAUUUUCACUAUAGGGAUUUUCUAUAUGAGUCUCCGGUUGAGAGAUAUCGAGGGGGGAAAUAUCUGGGAAAAUACACUUCUGGACAAUCUUCUUUGCUGUCUGUUUUCUCCUUCGGCCACUGUUGGAUUAGGCUAUAAUUUGGAUAUGUUGUUCUUCCUGAUUCUGUCUAGACUCUGAACGGUGGAGAUCUGAAACAAACAUUCGGUAUAGAAGUUGUGCAUCUCACACAGUAGGUCUGCAAGUUUGAAGUCAGUUCGGUUAAACCCAUAUUUCUAGAAAUCGCACCAUUUGAUGAAGUUAAUAUUUGGAUAUGUUAUACUCAUAAUAAUGCAUUAUAACUUGACAGUAUGGAUUGUUUGGAAUAUUAUUCGUUUGUUAUUUAUGGUUGAUUGAAACUGUUUUCAAGGAUUGUGUUUAGAAGAAUAUUGUUCGGAAAGUUUGUAAAAUCGAUAAGAAUGUUUUAUUUUGAUGUUAAGAGGGAAGAUUGAAAUAAAUAAGGUAAAUUGGCUCUUAAAAAGAUAUUUUUUUGACACUCUUAAAUGAUAUGUGAUAUGGCCAGGGGUUGAGAUAAAAGAGAAAAAGUUAAAUUAUGGAUGUUGUGUGUAAAUGGAAAGGUUGAUGAAUCUUGACAGAUUCGUCUCCUGACUUUUAAAGAGAAUUUGAGUAGGAGGAUGAGAGAAUUAGGAUCAAGUUUCUUCAUAGUAAUUGUAGUUUUGGAUGUUAGCUAACUAAGAAAAAUUGGUCUUGCUCAAUAUGGAGCUGUAGAACCCUAGCUAUGGGUCAUCAACUGAGAUUGGGUCCUGAUAGACCCUGUAGGGUAGUGUUUGUUGAUGAGCAAUUUUGACUAUUUCAGAGGCAGAACUGGGUUCUCCUUACUCAGAGAACUUGUAGCCUCGUGUAUUAGCUUUCCAACGAGACUAAUCUCGCUUGAAACAGAGUUCUAUAACUUUAGAUAUAGUUAAAAAUAUGAUGAGUGUUCAGACAAUGACAGUUGGACAAUAACAGUUCAAUAUCUAGACAGUAACAGUUAGAUAGUAACAAUUGGAAAUUUGACAGUAACAGUUCAAAGUUAGACAGUAAUAAUAAACUUUGACGUGAAUACUAUAUAAAAGAAUUGAGUCAUACGAACACUUGCACAUUGAGAUACUAACUCUAAAAAUAUACAUGAUAUAUGUAUGUAUGUUAUUAUGAGGAAAUGAACAUGCAUAAAAAGUAACAUAUGAGUAAUGGAUGAUUAUGGAUUCUCUGUAAUAUUGGACUGAAGGAAUGAUAACUAUGGUUGGAUAAAGGAUGACAACAUUAAUGGGUGUAAUGAGAAAAACAUGAGAUAUAAAGAAAGAAAUGAUUGAAAGAAAGAUUUAUUAGCUAUUGAUAUGAUUAUUAUAAAACAUAUCCUUGAAUGAGGAAAAUUUAUGAGAUGAGUUUGUGACUAUAGGAAGGACCACCUGUGUGGUGCAACAGCAGCAACAUGGGAGCACAAGUAGAGCUUCUACUGCAGGUAGGUGACUUUCACCUUCCUUUUAAAUAAUGUUGAAUAAUGAAAAUACUUUAUCAUGAAUAUUACUGUAUUGUGUUAAUUCAUAUACCAGAUUGUCAAAUGCUUAAAUGUAAACAAUUUAUUAGCUUCGGCUAAUGGCAUUCGAAGGGAUGACCGGGACAAACGAGUGAUUAGCUUUGGCUAAUGGCAUCCGAUAGGAUGGCCGGGACAAACGAAUGAUUAGCUUUGGCUAAACAAAUGAAUGAUUAGCUUUGGCUAAUGGCAUUCGAUGGGAUGACUGGGACAAACGAAUGAUUAGCUUUAGCUAAUUGCAUCCGAAGGGAUGGCCGGGACAAAUGAAUAAUUAGCUUUGGCUAAUUGCAUCUGAAAGGAUGACUGGGACAAACAAUUGAUUAGCUUUGGCUAAUGGCAUCCGAAUGGAUGACGGGGAAAAUUGAAUGAUUAGUUUUGGCUAAUGGCAUCCGAAUGGACGACCGGGACAAAUGGUUGAUUAGCUUUGGCUGAUGGCAUUCGAAGGGGAUGGCCGGGGUGAGUGAACAGUUAACCUCGACAAAUGAUGUCUUAAAAGAAUGGCUGGAUUUAAAUUUAAGAUUAUGGUUGAUUGUAAGAAUUGGUGCAUAUAUAUGUACUGCAAGUUGUGUAUACCAAGAACAUGAAGGAACUACAAAUGUCACGCUUCAAACAUGAGAUAAUGUUAAUGCUUCAUUAAAUUGCCAGACCAUUUUCUUCUUAUUAUUAUUAUUAAGUAAUUGCAUUCUUGUAAAUGUUUUGUACUGCAGUAGGGACGUCAUACCAACAAGGUGCCUAGAAAACGCAAUACACGGGAACCUACUUUUGCAAGGAAUCAUGUAGUUGCAUUCUAAAUCAUGAUGUAUUUUAUAUGAAUCAAUGUACUGAAUGUAUAACUAUUAUUAGAUCAUUUUAGAUUAAAUUCAUGAUGACUAUUUGUAGGAUAGAAUACAAACUCAUAUCUAUACAUGUAUAUUUUAAAUGCGAACUUAUAAUCAUGCAAACAUAAUAUUAUGAGUUUAUGUAAGAUUCACUUUUAACUGAAAAUGUUGAUUGUUGUUGAUGUAUGGAUUGUAUAUUGAUGAUGUGAAGGGAACAUGUUCGUCGAUUACCAACACGAUGUGUGUCAAGUACAAAAAAAAUAAAAAUUUACUGUUGUUUUGGGCUUGAAAAGUCGGGUUGUUACAAGCUCCACCACCAGCAGAAACAGAGGAGAAACCGAAACAAAACAGAGAAAAGGAGAAAGAACAGGAGGGAGGGCAGAAACAAAGGGCAAGGAAAACACAGAAAAAAGAACCACCAACCACCCUCAGCUCCCCAGUCUGCCACCGUUAGCGCCAAUAACAACGCCAUCGACAGUAGCUCCACCAUCGUCAGAGACCGAAGAAGAAAUGUAGAAGCAGGAGAAUAGAAACAAGGAGAAAAGGAAAACAUAGGAAAACAGAGAGAAAAACAAAGAAGAACCACCGUCUAGAAUCCUCCAUCCGCUGCACGAUUCUUCCUCAACACUGUCACCACUUGCCACAGUCAACACCAGCACCGCCACCACUGCCAGGUCAGCUUCUUCUCCUUCAUCGUCCUCGGCUACUCCACUGUUCUGUAUGAACAGUGGAGAGUCCUCCAUUGUUCACUAGGCCAGACAAGUCUGGCCCAACCCAAAACGAGAAUCGCCUAGAGCCACUGUCGACAACAGCUCCACCACCAGCAGAAACAGAGGAGAAACCGAAACAAAAUAGAGAAAAGGAGAAAGAACAAGAGGGAGGGCAGAAACAGAGGGCAAGGAAAACACAGAAAAAAGAACCACCAACCACCCUCAGCUCCCCAGUCCGCCACCGUUAGCGCCAACAACACCGCCAUCAACAACAGCUCCACCAUCGUUAGAGACCGAAGAAGAAACGUAGAAGCGGGAGAACAAAAACAAGGAGAAGAAGAAAACACUGGAAAACAGAGAGAAAAACGAAGAAGAACCACCGUUUGGAAUCAUCCGUCCUCUGCGCCAUUCUUCCUCAACACUGCCACCGCUUGCCACAGUCAACACCAGCACCGCCACCACUGCCAGGUCAACUUCUUCUUCUUCGUCGUCCUCGGCUGCUCCACUAUUUUGCAUGAACAGUAAAGAGUCCUCCAUUUUUCACUAGGCCAGACAAGUUCGGCCCAACUCAAAAUGAGUGGGUCGAGUCCGGCUCAGUCCAAAUUUUUUUUUUAAAAAAAAUCAUUUCGAAAAUUUGUGAUUUUUCUGCAUAUUUUUCUGUCCAUUUUGAUUAGUAUCGGUUUGUAUUUUAAUAUCAUAAGGAUACGAAUCUGGUUUUCAUCGAAACGUUGCAAAAAAUAAAAAAAAUAUCUUGUUUUCAUGCAUAUGACCAAGUCUUAAUACGACAAAAAAUCAUAUCGUAUUUUCAUACGACAAAAAAUCAAAAAUAUGUGUUAGCAUGUAUUUUAGCUUUAAUAACCAGCUUAUUAAAGCCACGAGAACUUGGUCAAUAUUCCAAAAAAUUUCAAAAAAAUCAUUUUGUUUUCUUUUAGUAUCUGGGAUUACAAAUUUAUACAUACAACGUAUUCCCAAUAUUAAAAAGAUAUUUCUUUUUAUUAACGUUAGAACGGUUAGGUUUUACCCGAUAAGAUAAAGAUAUGCUUACCGAGGAUGACUUUUCUUAAACUAUAGACAGACCAACAUAUAGACGUUAGCAUAUAUUAGACAAUAAAACAAUACAACUUACCUUAGGUAGGGCGUAUUUGAGUUGCUAAUACUUUCACUUUACGCAACUAGUCCCCGUGCCCGAUCUCUGAGACCAGUUAGGGUUCCUAGUGACCAAAACACUAGGUGACGACUUUCAUUCCAUCAUUCCACCGAUAAAAGACAAGAAUUCUCUGAGUGGACAAUCAUCGUGACGCCGCAUACGUGCGACAACAUGAAAGUCAUAUUGUAUGGAAUUUGUAUGAUGUGUUUCUUGAGAGAAAGCUUGUAUUAUUCAAAAUAAACUUUUAUUAAGUGUAAAUUAUUUAAAAUAAUAAUAAUUUUAUUCAGAACCUUUAUAAAUCUAUACAUAUAAUUAAAUCUAAUCAUAUAAUUUUUUUUAAAAAUUAUUUGAUUGCUGUCUUGCGCUUCUAUUAUCGUGGAAUUAAGUAAAAUAUGAUUUUAUAAAAUAAAGUUGUUAGACCUCACUGAGUCAUUUGUUUGGCAUGUAUACUGGAGUUGAUUCAAGAUAUCAUCGUCUUAAUAUUUGAAGAACAAUGUUAAAAUGUUGAUGUCUUCAAUUCUUUCUAGUCAAACUAGAUUUUUACUAGGUCGAUUAGAUCAAACUUUAACUUACUUAGUUGAUUGGAUCAUAUAAAAGUAAAAUCUAACCCAAUUUAGCUUAACACCUAAGCUAGGAGAGGGCUAAACUCAAAAUGUCUAUGAUUUUAAUUGAAAUUCAUUAAAACAUUAACAACACCUGUAAAUACAUUUUUCUUUUUGCCAUCAAAUUUAAUUUUUUAUCAUACCUACAAUGUAGCUUGGUUAAGUUAAUUAUGGAUCAUCUUACUACUUUUGUUUUUCAAAUUUUGUCAAGAAAUACUGCUAAAACACAUAUUAGCAACAAUUAUAUAUAUAUAUAUAAAUUAAUCCUACCUCAUGCAAAACACGUGCCACUAGCUAGGUUAAUUUAAAGCACCACUUGCUUUGCGGUAUUGGAGAGAAUGUAGUCAUCAUAGAUUCUGUUUGGAAAACUGAUCUUCGAAGAGAUUAGGAGCUGGAUAUUGUCUUCCUCUUCCUCUUUUUUAAUAUUUAUCUAUAUCAUAUUCCUCGUCUUAUUCUUCACCACUGUAAAGGGAUAUUUGAAAGGAAAAAAAAAUUGUAAAGUUUUAUUGUGUUUUUACUUUCCCGUCAUAUAUAGUUUUAAAAAAUACAUUUAAAAUCCUAGGUCAAAUAAAAAUUUAAAAAUAAUAAUAAGAAAAUAUUAUCAUAUAUAAUAUAACACAAAUAAUAACUAUAACUAUGAUAUCAAUGUUCACUAGGGUUCCAGAUUAUAGCUAUUUGAUUAUAGAAUUAAAAAGUGAGUCAGCCAGAAGGUAGUUAAUUGGCAUUUCACAGACAUAAAAUGGGUGUUUAUAAGUGAGGUGGUAAUUGUUUUUUAAAGUGUUUUUUGACUUGAAAAUGCAUCAAAAUAAUAUUUUUUAUUUUUAAAAGAUUAAUUUUGACAUUAACACAUCAAUAAUUUGAAGUAAAGAAAAAAAUAAUUUUUUUUUUUUAAAAACCUUUUGAAAUAUAAAAACAAAUAGCCAUAAUAACAAGCAAAACAUCAGAUGCAGUUAAUGAUUCUUAUAAGAUUUAAUCAAUUAUUUUUGGAACACGACAGUUAAAACCUUUGAAAUUGAAGCAUGCACCAUAAAAUGAUGAUGAUGGCCUUGCUGAACUGAACCAGAUUGCCUCAGGUUGUGGCUUACGUCGCCUUGCGUUGUGAUAGGAAAGACGUCUACGACAGCUUCGCUUCUUGUCAUCAAACUCUGACAAUUCACGGAACCUAAACAAAUUUUGCAUCCUAAAUGCAGCAGCAGCAGCAGACUUUAGCCGUAGAUAAUAACAUCAGAAAGCUUAGCAAAAGCAACAAAGCUAAAUCAUGGAGAUUAAAAAUGAAUAAUUACUAAGAAUUCCCCAAGAAUCAAGAUUCAUGAGAGUGUUACGUAUCUGGAUGACAGAAUAGUGGGAGAUGUUGCAACAAGAAAAAGACUACUAUGGGGAGGCAAGAAGGAGCGGGAAGUAGAGACGCCAGGAGCACACAACCUGCUGUUUAGUUAUUAAUAUUCUUUUAGUUAGUUGGAGUACAUUCGGUUAGCAGAGUUUGUUAAUCACUUUGAGUUAGUUGGAUUAGUACAAUUUCGAUUUCAUUUCUCUCUUCUCUGCUAAUAUCAUUCUGCUUCUUAGCCUCAUCUUCUUGAUUUGUUAAGUGAUCUUAACAAUUGAUUUUAGAGCCUUAAGAUCUAACACUAUGAUGAAAAAUCAUAAGCUGAAAAACAUUGAAGAACACUGCAAGAAAUUGGAGGAGCGAAUGCAAAUCCUUCAACAAGAACUCUAAGAAUCCCUGGUCGAUCAACAAAACAAAUGGCAGGAACAACUCGGUGAACAAUUAAAGUUGGAAGACUAAUUAGAUUAGUGCUCAAAUUGAAACACUGUCGAAUCAAUUUCAAACAUUCCUUGCUCAUCAGAUGACAGGGAAGGAUGUGGGAAGCACUUCUAGAGGAAUCUUACAGGCACUAGCAAGCGGCAGUCUUGAAGGAAUGUUAUCAAGGGGAAAAGGUCCUGCUAGGGGAGAUCAAACUUAUGGCCAGGAGCAGUAGAGAGUGGUGCAUAAUGCUGCUCUUCCAAGGAUGGAUCUGACAACAUUUCGAGGAGAUAAUCCUAGGGGUUGGUUAAGGAGGUGCAAGAAGUUUUUUAGCCUCAACUCAACUCCAUUUCAGUAGUGGGUAGAACUAGCAUCUAUUUACUUGGAAGGAAAGGCAUAAAUCUGGUUUGAAGGCUAUAUGCGUGGGGUAAUUCACUGGUUACUAUGCGCACAACACAGUAACAAGCUAUCUAUGGGCCGAUUCUGGCCUAGUUUCUUUUGGGCUAGGCCAGGCCCAGUUUUUUUGGGAUUUGUACUAUUUCCUCGCGUAUUUUUAUGCCUUUUUUAUUAAUUAGUAUUGGAAUAUAUUUUUAUGUCAUUAAAAAUACAAAAUCUGGUAUUAAAAUACCCGGUUUUCGUCAAAACUUCCAAAAAUACAAAAAAAAUUGAAAAUAGAAAAAAUAUUUUUGUGCAUACGGCCAAGAGUCUCAAAGCUAAAAAAAAUCAUAUUGUGUUUUUCAUACACCAAAAAACAAUGUUUUAGCAUGCAUUUUGGCUUUAAUAACCAGUUUAUUAAAGUCCAGAGAACAUUGACCAAAAUUUAAAAAACAACAAAAAUUUUAUUUUGUUUUGUUUUAAUAUCAGGGAUUAUGAAUUUAUACGUAAAACGUAUUCCCGAUAUUAAAAAGGUAUUUUCUUUUGACAACAUAGAACAGUUAGGUUUGUACCCGAUAAGAUAAGAACCUUCUUAUUGAAGAGGGCUUUUCUUGACCCUUUAGACGGACCAACAAUUAGAAAACACAACAAGACCAUAAUUUUUAUCAAACAUUAAAACAAUGCAGCUUACCUUAGGUAGGGCGUAGUGGGGGUGCUAAUACCUUCCCUUUACGCAACCAGUCUCCGUACUCGAUCUCUGAGACUAGUUAGGGUUCCUAGUGACCAAAAUACUAGGUGGCGACUCCCAGUCCAUAUUUUACUGAUAAGAGACAAGAAUUCCUUGUCUCUCCAUAUUUGCCAGACAGACCUUUACCAUUUUCGUUGUGAAUGGUGGACGAUCGUCGCGACGCCGCACACGUGCGACAAUAUGGUUGGUGGGGCAGUUUUUUCUGGUAGAGGUAACAACAAUACCACAUCAGGUACUUGCUAAUGCAGAAAUAACAAGGUUAUUGGCAGACUAUGCAGUUGCUUUUCAAGAACCAACAUCAUUGCCACCUACCAGGAAACAUGAUCAUAGAAUUCCACUAACAACAGGAGCUCAACCCGUCAAUUGCAAACCAUAUAAGAGCUCUUUCUUUCAAAAGGGGGAGAUCGAAAUGAUGGUCAAGGAGAUGCUACACAACAACAUAAUACAACCCAAUGUUAAUCCCUUUGCCUCUCCUAUUCUUUUGGUGAAGAAGAAGGACAACACAUGGCGUUUUUAUGUAGACUUUCGACUGCUGAAUGAAAAAAUUUCUUAGUAUUCUUUGACGAUAUUGUCAUUUAUAGUUCCUCUCUAAAAGAACACAUCAGUCAUUUGAAGCAAGUCUUGGACACUCUUAAAACUAACCAACUGUAUGCGAAGAGAUUCAAGUGCACAUUUGCAGAGCCGCAAGUAGAGUAUUUGGGGCAUAUAAUUUCAGCUGAAGGGGUAGCCACUAAUCCUAAGAAGAAACAGGCAGUACAGGAGUGGCCAAUUCCAAAAUCCAUUAAGAAGCUAAGGGGAUUCCUUGGCCUAGCUGGUUAUUAUUGAAAAUUCAUUAGGAAAUUUGGUAUUAUUAGCAAGCCUUUGACAAAUAUGCUCAAGAAGAAUAACUUCAUUUGGCAUGAAGGAGCACUAGAGGCUUUUCGCAACCUGAAACAAGCAUUGUGUAAGGCUUCAAUCAUGGCCUUGCCGGACUUUACCAAACCGUUUGUGCUGGAACCAGACGCUUGUGAUACUGGAAUUGGAGCAGUACUUAGCCAGGAAGGAAGACCAUUAGCAUUUUUUAGCAAGGCCUUGGGAGUCAAACACUUGAGGCUAUCCAUUUACGAGAAGGAAUACCUUGCUAUUCUAAUGGUAGUCGACAAGUGGAGGCAUUACUUGGAACAAGAUCAGUUUGUCAUUCAAACUUAUCAUAAAAGUCUGACGUAUCUACUUGAUCAGAAAAUUCACACUCCUAUACAAAAGAAGGGGCUGACUAAGCUGUGGGGGUUGAACUAUCGGAUCAGGUACAGAAAAGGAAAGAAGAAUAAGGCUGCAGAUGCCUUAUCUAGGAGGAAUAUGCAGGGGGAAGAAGGCUGUCAAGGAAAUAAAAUGGAAGGGGGAAGGUUCACCGCCAUAACACAAAUAACUCCCUCCUGGUAUGACAAGAUUUAUGCCUCUUAUAAAGACGAUGCCAAGUUGCAGGAUAUGAUGAGGAGUAAACUGGUAGAUGCUGCACAAUCUCUCAACUUUGUAUGUUGAAGGAGUGAUUAAAUAUAAGGGGAGAGUUAUUAUUGGAUCUGCAGGGUUAUUAAAGGAAGAACUCAUCAAGUCUACCUAUGAUUCCUACAUUGGAGGACAUGCUGGGAUCCAAAAUACAUACAGACGACUUAAGGCUCACUUCUACUGGCCUUCUAUGAGGAAAUUAGUGCAAGAAAUAGUUCAACACUGUGACAUUUGUAAACAAGCUAAGGCCGAAAGGGUCCCUUAUCUUGGAUUGUUACAGGCUCUUCAAGUUCGAAGUGGUUCUUGGCAGGAUAUAACCAUGGAUUUCAUAGAAGGAUUUCCAAGGUCAGAAGGCAAGGAUACCAUUAUGGUCAUUGGUGAUCGAUUUACGAAGUAUGGGCAUUUUAUCACAUUAGCCCAUCCCUUCACAGCUCAAGAGGUGGCUAAAUUGUUUCUGGAUCACAUUUAUAAGUUACAUGGCUUGCCUGCCACGAUAUUAACUGAUAGAGAUAAAAUUUUCACAAGCUUGUUCUGGAGAGAAUUGUUUAGACAUUUGGGCAUAAAGUUGUUACUAAACGCCUCCUAUCAUCCUCGAAUGGAUGGUCUGACCGAGAGGGUGAAUCAAUUCCUAGAGACUUACCUAAGGUGCAUCACUAUACAUUGUCCCAAAAGUGGAACACUUGGAUAUCGACAGCACUAUUUAACAAUUGUUUAGAAGGUAGAUAAAUUAUUUUGAAUUCACAAUUUAACAUGACAUGGAAGGAACAUGCAUUAGAGAGAGGAUCUAAUUUAACAUGUCGUACAAUAAUAACUUAAUCUAUAGCCUUUUUUAUUUAUUUUCUUUUUAAUUUUGGUACAAUAAAAAGGCUCUUCAAAUAUGUAGAAGAUAUAACAUAUUUAGAGUAUGAGAUAUUGAGGCCAGCUUUCAACUGCCAUGAUAUUUUCUAGUAAUUCCUUAACUUAUACUGCAUAUAGUUUAUUACUGAGUUGUUGCGUAAUUAAUUAAUUGGAAUAGAGGGCAUGUAUCCCAUCAAUAUCAUCCUGGGCGAGAUCUCUUUUCUUCUUUCCAGCUUCUAUCGUUGGAUACAUGAUGGCUUCGGGAUGAUCUGUACUAUGAUGAAGGCCAAGCAGAUGUCCUAUUUCAUGAACAGUAACGGAUUCCAGGUCAGUUUGAUCCAUUGCGGGGUCAGUGCUCCAGUUCUCGUCUGCAUCGUAAUGGAGACGGCCGUCUUGUGGAUAAAAAGCAUGAGCCAGUGUUUUCCCUGGUCCAUCAAAAGGAUACCGGUCCCCAUGAUCGCCGCUGUAGAACUCAAUUACAAUAUCUGCUGAUGCACCGGCAGUCGCCUCCUGGAAAGUGAAUUUAGAAACCUUUGCCCAUGUUUGGAAAGCUUUUGAGCAGACCGACCUCAAGGUGUCCGAACCAACAACUUGGACACCGGAGCCAAAUCUGUAGGUCAGAGCAUACUUGGAAGGUGGCCACUUUUCUGCCCCGAAAGCAUAAUGAGCCACCAUGUGGACCUUCUUGUGUUUUGAUUUAGUGCUGUUCGGUUUGGUGGACGGAGUGUUUAUGAUAUCAGGCGUUCCACAUCGUGGAAUCACCAUUUGUUGUAUGGUACUAGAGUCGAGGUUACCAGUAACAUUCAGAUGAAAAUAUUCUUGGUAUGUUUUGAGUGCUAGCUCCAAGUGGUCAUCAAAAUCACUGCUUGUGAGAGUGAUAUCAUCACUUGGGUAGUACCCAAGCUUUUUGAGAUAUUGUUUGAGCUCAAUAAGCCCUUGCACAGUUUGGCCCUUUUUAACCCCUUCCAGCCCUUGAAGGAAGCUGCUAAAAGAUUGCCGAUGCUCGGGUUUCAAAGUUCUUGCCAGACCUCUGAAGGACUGGAUAGAAAAGAUAACGAGGAUUGCUGAUAAAAGAUGGGAAAGAUUAGGAGCCAUAUAUUAUGUUGUUUCGGAGAAUGGCUUCAGACGUGGGUUGUGGCUUUCAAUUCUAGUAUCGGAUGGCUAUUUAUAGGCAUAGUAUGUUGUAUUGGCAUUAGGACUAUAGAAUAUGUCUUGAGAUUUACUACUAUCCUUAUUUUUGUUAAUUCUGAUUACUUAUUUUCAAAUAUUAAUUAUUUAGACUACAUUUUUCCUUCAAGCAUCUAAUUUAUUUAUUUUCUUUCGUAGUAAUCAAUGAAAUUACUAUCUGAAUAUUUGAGUUUAACUUUCAUUUAUAUAGUUAUUAUUAGAUAUCUCUAUCCAACAAAAUCAACAACUUCAUUGUGAUUGUUUUUUAUGUAGCUUUUGUGGUUGUGAUUUUAAAAAAGUGCGGUUAGCUGUGGUUAGUUAGAUUUAGAUACGUGUUUGGUAAAAAUUGUGAUUGAAGUUUAUGUGUAGUAAAAAAACAUACUAAAAUGUUUGGUGGAAGUGUGGUUGCAGUUGCUUUUUAAAGUGCUUUUUACUUGGAAAUGUAUCAAAAUAAUAUUUGUUUUAUUUUUUUAAAAUUAUUUUUGAUAUCAGCAUAUCAAAAUGAUCUGAAAACACCAAAAAAAUAUUAAUUUGAAGUAAAGAAAAAAAUAAAAAAUUCUUAAAUUUUUUCAAAAGCGUUUUUGAAACGCUAAAACAAACAGGGUUUUACAAAACUCAGUUAAAAAAGCAUGUAAAAACUGCUUCACAAAAACUGCGUUUCAAACUCAAUUUUUUAGUGGGUCUCGUAGUAUAAAACGCAGUUUGGUUUGUUACCAAACACCUUGCCGCGUUUAUUGCACCGCAAACACAAAAGCAGGUGUAAAACAAAUGCAACCUUCUACUAUUAAGAAAGUACAUCUCUAUUCCGUGUCUCAUAAAUUUAAAUUAUCAAAUGGCUAAUCCUAAAUUGAAUCAAAGUUUUAUUUAUCAUUUCAAUAAUUUUAUUUUUGUCUUUGUUAGUCUUGAAUGAUUAAAUAUAGUAUAUUCUUUUAAUAUAUCUUUUUAUUUAAUUCAUUUAAAUAAUGUUGUUGAGAAGGAGCGCUCAAAAAAUAAAUGAUCAUGGGUUUCCACAUGUAAACCACACAAAAUACAUACAGUAGAGGUGAUGAUCUGAAAAGUCUGUAGUCUGUUAAUAGUGUGUAGACGACCCAAAAAGACAAGCCAUAAGAUGAAGGAGUGUCAUGGGACAUGUCCUAGAAACCAAAGAAGAUGGUGCAUAAUAUUCUUGGGCCUGGUAUCUGGAAGUGCCUCCCAAGAGAUCCAAAAGAGAUGCUUUCAAAUCAUUAUCCACACCUUAUAUGAAAACAUGACUCUUCUCUAGGUUGAUCAUCAGCCUUGAUAACACAACAAAGUCAUCCAGAGCCCUCAUCACAACACCCACUGAAUUGGUGUCUGCCUGACAAAAUAUCAUAAGGUCAUCAACAAAGAAUAAAUGAGUAAUACUCUCGUGUUGACACCUCUAGUGAUAGUGGUAUCUCUGGUUCUAAGCAGCCUUUCUAAGAAUACCAUCAAGCCCUUCAUAGCCAGCACAAACAAAGUUAGCUACACGCAUACUUUGGUUACGAGACAGCUUAGGGGCAUACAAUAUGUGCCAAGGACAACUAAACUAUCACAAUUCUCUGGGUUAUUCAAAGACCAAUCCGCUUUAGAAGUUAUGGAAAACAUCAAACAAGAUUGGAAGCUUUUGGUAUCGAUAAAAAAAAAAGAAUUAGAUGGUUUGAGAGAUCUAGUCACUAGUGAAAAAUACCCGAGGUGGAGAAAUCUAUCAUUGGUGACUUUCUUCAUGAAUCUCGAAUUCAAAACGGAAACUUCACAAACCGCUGAACUAAAUAAGAGAAAAAGAAUUAACAACGAGGAAGAGUUGAGAGAACAACUGGAAAAGCUCUAUGUAGAAUUGGGCACCAAUAAAGCCCUCAAGAUCUCCCUCGAGGAACAACUCUUCAUUGAAGAUAAACUGAGGAAGUUUAUGGAGUAACAGUUGAUGAACUGACCCUUAAAUGUAAAAGCUUUCACUGAACAUGAAUGAAAAGGGCAUGGACCCAAUCUUCACAGCAACAUUUUGUAUUGAUGAGUAUAAAUUUAUUAGGAAUUGGCUCAAAUCAAAUUGUCUCGACAGUUAUAAAAGGAUAAAAAUCUUACCCAAAUGAUAGCAUAUAUCAGUCAGAAAUUUGGCUAAUCCACAUUCAAAUAUGCAUCAUCAUGCAUAAUUAUACAUCCAUAUGCACUUGUGUUUAUGAAUUUCAAAAUAUGCCUAACAGGUAUUUGAAAUUUAGGUUCCCCUACUAAAAUCUACAAUACUAGGUUUUGUAAAAGGAUGGAAAAUGAUGAAAGGGCUCACUACCAAAAAGAGUUGGAUGAUGUUAAGAAUAACAUGGCUCGGGUGACUAGUUUACUCGACCAACUCUUGUAAGCACAGUCAGGGGAAGGGACAUCCAGUCAGCAUCCGACUCUAUAAUCACCGCUAGUAGCUCUAGUUAUCAUUGACCCACAAAACUUGGAAACAAAUCCCACCGCUAGACCACAAGGAACAAAAAACAUUCCAAUUACUCACCCAAUUAUGCCUGCUCAAGUACUAACCAUAAUAGAUCUAACUAAAGGGGAAUCCCAUGGGGUUAAAUCUUUUGGUCACCCUAAACAAGAUAAGUGGGUUGCCUGGGAGGAGAGGUUUAGAGUUGUUGAGGGAUUUGACGUCUAUGACUUAGUUAGAGCAGCUGAGAUAUGCCUAGUACCAAAUGUAGUGGUACCCAAAGAGUUUAGAGUGCCAGAAUUUGUCAAGUACACGGAGUUAGAAUGCCUUAAUACACACCUGAGGUCAUAUUACAACAAAAUGACGGAGGUCAUAUAUAAUGACAAGUUGCUCAUCCAUUUCUUCCAAGAAACUUGACUAGUUUCACGUUAAGCAGAAAAUAUAAGAAUAAUAUAUAUGUCAAGUGUAUGGAAAGUAAUUUUAAUAAAUACAAGACUAUUCAGACAUCAUAUUUUUAGGUAAAUAAAGGAUGAAAAACAUCUUCUUUUUAUUGGCUUCAUUCUUGUGAUAUAUUACUUGAUAGGUUAGAACAUGUAAAUUAUAAUUCUAUAUACAAGUCAAUUAAUUUUGAAUUAUUAUUAAGUAUUGUUUUUUUUAAAAUAAAGUUUAUAUUGAAUCAAAAUUCAUAAAAAUUUUGGUAUCAAAUCAAGUCUCCUUCUUGAUCUUCCUCUCCAUCUCUUUGUUGAUGUAGAUUUUUAUUGUCCGACAAAAAUAGAAUGUAAGUUACUCAAUGUUUUAAAAAUUAUUAUUUAAUUACUAAAAUACACAUUAUUACUUAUAAUAACCGGUUAAAAAGGUACCUUAAUGAAUAAAAAGGACAUAAUAUAAUACCUAAUUAAUUAUAUUAUUUCAAUUUUCCAGGGUAUCACACUAGUUUCGAUUAAGAUUUUAGAUGACAACCUUACUCAAAUUAAGAUCUAUAUAUGGCAAUAUAAAUUUCCGGAAGUAUAUUCAAAAUAAUCAUCAAGUAAGAGGCCUUAGUUUCAUAACCAAAAGAACCGGUCUUCUUAUCAACAGCAGAAGCAAUCCUUCUUUUCUUUUCUUUUUUCCUUUUCUAUUUAUAAGCAAAAUAGUACCAGGAACGCCUAUGAAGAGGCAGCAGGAAAUUGUAGCUAAAGAAGAUUAAAAACAAAUCACACUAUAUUACUAUCAAAACUCAUGCCACUGCUUCUAAAGUGCAAGACCUCAUCAGAAGCAGAUACCAAGACCAAUCAACUCGAGAAAAUUCAAUCCUAUGGGAGCAUCUUGGGUUUUCCUUUAUGAUGGCUAUCGGAUGUCCACAGCAUUACAACUGGAGUUUUGCUCCGCAUCAAACAACUCAUCACGUCGGUAUUAUGUAUUCAUCCUCGCCGGGCCAAGGCAAAAGUGUCGUCUUCAUGGGACAGAUUUCUCUUGUAAGGUAUGGAAAAUAUCGGCAUCAAUUCCAUCUCCAUCUCCGAUCUUUCCUUGCAUCAAAUGUUUUGUUUGAUCUUUUGGGCCAGGAGUUUGGGAUCCAAUGAUGUAAGGGUAAAAUAAUGAUUCGUGGUCAUCAGCAAGUCUAUGGGAUUUGGUAUUCAGACUUCAUAUAUUUACAAGUAUCCUCCGACAACUCUUGAUAUCUCGUCGAUGCAGUCAUGGCAACAGGAAGUCUAUGGGUUUUGGCCGUAAAUGGCGCCGAGAGAGCCCUACCAUCAAAUGCAUUAUCGUCUUCAGCUUCAUUAUCGUUUGUCCUUUCCAACACGUACCAAAUGGUUUGCCCUCCGAUUCAGGUUGAUGCAUCUUUCAGUCAGCAUUAAGGCUCGGUAAUUAUAUUUCCAAUGAUAAAGAAACUUUUGGAUCUAUGCCCACUCCAUAAAGAUUUUAUUGUUAUUGGUGAGAUAACUAGAUUAAACUUCUUCAAUCUUUAUAUUUUCUCUUGAAGUGAAAGCUAAGGAUAUCUACAAAUAAAAGAAAUUCCAAACCUAACAAAAAAUUGAAGUGUACAUUAAACUUAUAAUUGAAUUUGGCCUUGUUGCUUAAAUUCUGAUUCUUUAUAUAUGAUUUUAUUGAUAUUUUAUUGCAAAAUGGAUUAUUAAAUCUCAUCAUUUUAUCAUCAUUAAUUCUUUUUAUUAAAAAGAAUAUUUUACGGCCAAUUCAUUUCAUGACAAUGAAUGAAUUUAUUUAACAUAUUAACGAUUUUUACUUUAUUGAAAAUAUAUUUUAAUAAAAAAAUUUAAUAGAUAGUUAUGAUGUUAUAUUAUUAUGAAAUAUAAAUAUAAAUAAAAAAACUCAAAGAAGGUAAGUUUUAUCACUCAACAAAUUUAAAAUGGAUAAAAAUAACAAUUGGAGUGUGAAUAGCUAGUGCUUUCAUUCUUUUUAUGAGAAUUAUGGUGUACUUUGAAUUGGUUUCAAAAUCUAAUGUAGAAACUCCCUUCAUACUAUGAAAUAAUUUGUCUUUGUCAAUUGAAUAUAAAAUUAAAAAAUAGCAAAAGAUAUUACCUUUGGAAACUAAGAGGAUAAUCUUUAGAGAAGUCCCCCUUCCCUCUCAUCAAAUUAUAUUAAAAAAUUAAGGAAUCAAAUUUUAAUAUCUUUUAUAGAAUUUGAUAGGGAAUUAGGGCCCAUCUUCAAGAUAGAGAUUAAAGAGAAAAUCAUUCUUAAAAAAUGAAUAUCUCCACUUUAGAAAUAAGUGUUUUGAUUUAUAUCUCCUCUUGAUAUCUAUUUUUCUCUGUAAAAUAAAAAUUAGUAUUCAUUAGUUACUACUGAAGUAACACAUGAAAUAUUUUAGUGAAUUAGAUCAAUUAAUCUAAAUUUCUAUAUUUAAAUAUUGCACUUGACCCAAUUGCAAUUGUGAUUUGAUUUCAGUAUAAUUGACGAAACCCAAAUGUGCUCAUUAAUUGUUAACAUCGAAAGUUUAAAAAAGUUGAAUGUGUUAAAAUCACUCGAAACCUAUAUAAAUAGAUACAUAUGAUUAAAAUGAAAAAACGAAGAGACACAAAAUAUUUAUAAUUCUUCCAAAUAAGUUUUAUUUAAUUCAACAAUUUGUUUAACAAUACUAAUGAUGUUGUUGAGUAGGAUUAUAGUUGAUAAUAAUAAAUAAUUGAUGAAAUCUUCAUGUUAAAACAAUACUAAUGACGAGAGGGAAGAUUGAAAAACAGAGAGGAAUUGUUUUGAGAUAUAGAGACGAGAAAAGAGAGAAAAUAGAGUAGAAGAGAGAAGAACCUCCACCGUCUGCCUUCUUCAAUAUUGCCGCCAUGAGAACCGCCUUGAGCCACUGUCGACAGCAGCUCUGUAAACCCCCGGUUAUAAUUUUUCUGGGUAUUUAAAAGAUGAGAAAUUUAACCAAUAGUAAAAGGGGUUAAAUUAAAUUAAAGAAACCUAAAUCAAGAUAAAAAUAGUGAAAUUAAUGAAAUGAAAAGUCAAUAUAGUACUAAAUUAUUGAAAAGAAAAACAUUUGUGAGGACAAAAUGAAUAUGUAAAAUCAAGAGAGGUCAAUAUUCAAAUAACAGAAGGUUGGGAGUUUAUGUACAAAUGAUAAAAAGGGGUGGGGAUAAAUGUGCAAUUAACAAGAUGUUAGAACUAUAAAUAUCAUUCUAUUUUCUCUCUUGGAGGAACUGACAAGAGUAAGAGAGAGUUUAGAGAGAGGCUGGACAGAAGACAUAUUGAUGGCAGAACAUCCGACAGCUAUAACUCCACCUUCCACCGUUGGAUCAGAACGAUAUUCAGAUAUAUUAUUCUCAUCCAUGUCAUGUACAUUUUCACUAUAGGGAUUUUCUAUAUGAGUCUCCGGUUGAGAGAUAUCGAGGGGGGAAAUAUCUGGGAAAAUACACUUCUGGACAAUCUUCUUUGCUGUCUGUUUUCUCUUUCGGCCACUGUUGGAUUAGGCUAUAAUUUGGAUAUGUUGUUCUUCCUGAUUCUGUCUAGACUCUGAACGGUGGAGAUCUGAAACAAACAUUCGGUAUAGAAGUUGUGUAUCUCACACAGUAGGUCUGCAAGUUUGAAGUCAGUUCGGUUAAACCCAUAUUUCUAGAAAUCGCACCAUUUGAUGAAGUUAAUAUUUGGAUAUGUUAUACUCAUAAUAAUGCAUUAUAACUUGACAGUAUGGAUUGUUUGGAAUAUUAUUCGUUUGUUAUUUAUGGUUGAUUGAAACUGUUUUCAAGGAUUGUGUUUAGAAGAAUAUUGUUCGGAAAGUUUGUAAAAUCGAUAAGAAUGUUUUAUUUUGACGUUAAGAGGGAAGAUUGAAAUAAAUAAGGUAAAUUGGCUCUUAAAAAGAUAUUUUUUUGACACUCUUAAAUGAUAUGUGAUAUGGCCAGGGGUUGAGAUAAAAGAGAAAAAGUUAAAUUAUGGAUGUUGUGUGUAAAUGAAAAGGUUGAUGAAUCUGGACAGAUUCGUCUCCUGACUUUUAAAGAGAAUUUGAGUAGGAGGAUGAGAGAAUUAGGAUCAAGUUUCUUCAUAGUAAUUGUAGUUUUGGAUGUUAGCUAACUAAGAAAAAUUGGUCUUGCUCAAUAUGGAGCUGUAGAACCCUAGCUAUGGGUCAUCAACUGAGAUUGGGUCCUGAUAGACCCUGUAGGGUAGUGUUUGUUGAUGAGCAAUUUUGACUAUUUCAGAGGCAGAACUGGGUUCUCCUUACUCAGAGAACUUGUAGCCUCGUGUAUUAGCUUUCCAACGAGACUAAUCUCGCUUGAAACAGAGUUCUAUAACUUUAGAUAUAGUUAAAAAUAUGAUGAGUGUUCAGACAAUGACAGUUGGACAAUAACAGUUCAAUAUCUAGACAGUAACAGUUAGAUAGUAACAAUUGGAAAUUUGACAGUAACAGUUCAAAGUUAGACAGUAAUAAUAAACUUUGACGUGAAUACUAUAUAAAAGAAUUGAGUCAUACGAACACUUGCACAUUGAGAUACUAACUCUAAAAAUAUACAUGAUAUAUGUAUGUAUGUUAUUAUGAGGAAAUGAACAUGCAUAAAAAGUAACAUAUGAGUAAUGGAUGAUUAUGGAUUCUCUGUAAUAUUGGACUGAAGGAAUGAUAACUAUGGUUGGAUAAAGGAUGACAACAUUAAUGGGUGUAAUGAGAAAAACAUGAGAUAUAAAGAAAGAAAUGAUUGAAAGAAAGAUUUAUUAGCUAUUGAUAUGAUUAUUAUAAAACAUAUCCUUGAAUGAGGAAAAUUUAUGAGAUGAGUUUGUGACUAUAGGAAGGACCACCUGUGUGGUGCAACAGCAGCAACAUGGGAGCACAAGUAGAGCUUCUACUGCAGGUAGGUGACUUUCACCUUCCUUUUAAAUAAUGUUGAAUAAUGAAAAUACUUUAUCAUGAAUAUUACUGUAUUGUGUUAAUUCAUAUACCAGAUUGUCAAAUGCUUAAAUGUAAACAAUUUAUUAGCUUCGGCUAAUGGCAUUCGAAGGGAUGACCGGGACAAACGAGUGAUUAGCUUUGGCUAAUGGCAUCCGAUAGGAUGGCCGGGACAAACGAAUGAUUAGCUUUGGCUAAACAAAUGAAUGAUUAGCUUUGGCUAAUGGCAUUCGAUGGGAUGACUGGGACAAACGAAUGAUUAGCUUUAGCUAAUUGCAUCCGAAGGGAUGGCCGGGACAAAUGAAUAAUUAGCUUUGGCUAAUUGCAUCUGAAAGGAUGACUGGGACAAACAAUUGAUUAGCUUUGGCUAAUGGCAUCCGAAUGGAUGACGGGGAAAAUUGAAUGAUUAGUUUUGGCUAAUGGCAUCCGAAUGGACGACCGGGACAAAUGGUUGAUUAGCUUUGGCUGAUGGCAUUCGAAGGGGAUGGCCGGGGUGAGUGAACAGUUAACCUCGACAAAUGAUGUCUUAAAAGAAUGGCUGGAUUUAAGAUUAUGGUUGAUUGUAAGAAUUGGUGCAUAUAUAUGUACUGCAAGUUGUGUAUACCAAGAACAUGAAGGAACUACAAAUGUCACGCUUCAAACAUGAGAUAAUGUUAAUGCUUCAUUAAAUUGCCAGACCAUUUUCUUCUUAUUAUUAUUAUUAAGUAAUUGCAUUCUUGUAAAUGUUUUGUACUGCAGUAGGGACGUCAUACCAACAAGGUGCCUAGAAAACGCAAUACACGGGAACCUACUUUUGCAAGGAAUCAUGUAGUUGCAUUCUAAAUCAUGAUGUAUUUUAUAUGAAUCAAUGUACUGAAUGUAUAACUAUUAUUAGAUCAUUUUAGAUUAAAUUCAUGAUGACUAUUUGUAGGAUAGAAUACAAACUCAUAUCUAUACAUGUAUAUUUUAAAUGCGAACUUAUAAUCAUGCAAACAUAAUAUUAUGAGUUUAUGUAAGAUUCACUUUUAACUGAAAAUGUUGAUUGUUGUUGAUGUAUGGAUUGUAUAUUGAUGAUGUGAAGGGAACAUGUUCGUCGAUUACCAACACGAUGUGUGUCAAGUACAAAAAAAAUAAAAAUUUACUGUUGUUUUGGGCUUGAAAAGUCGGGUUGUUACAAGCUCCACCACCAGCAGAAACAGAGGAGAAACCGAAACAAAACAGAGAAAAGGAGAAAGAACAGGAGGGAGGGCAGAAACAAAGGGCAAGGAAAACACAGAAAAAAGAACCACCAACCACCCUCAGCUCCCCAGUCUGCCACCGUUAGCGCCAAUAACAACGCCAUCGACAGUAGCUCCACCAUCGUCAGAGACCGAAGAAGAAAUGUAGAAGCAGGAGAAUAGAAACAAGGAGAAAAGGAAAACAUAGGAAAACAGAGAGAAAAACAAAGAAGAACCACCGUUUGGAAUCAUCCGUCCUCUGCGCCAUUCUUCCUCAACACUGCCACCGCUUGCCACAGUCAACACCAGCACCGCCACCACUGCCAGGUCAACUUCUUCUUCUUCGUCGUCCUCGGCUGCUCCACUAUUUUGCAUGAACAGUAAAGAGUCCUCCAUUUUUCACUAGGCCAGACAAGUUCGGCCCAACUCAAAAUGAGUGGGUCGAGUCCGGCUCAGUCCAAAUUUUUUUUAAAAAAAAAAUCAUUUCGAAAAUUUGUGAUUUUUCUGCAUAUUUUUCUGUCCAUUUUGAUUAGUAUCGGUUUGUAUUUUAAUAUCAUAAGGAUACGAAUCUGGUUUUCAUCGAAACGUUGCAAAAAAUAAAAAAAAUAUCUUGUUUUCAUGCAUAUGACCAAGUCUUAAUACGACAAAAAAUCAUAUCGUAUUUUCAUACGACAAAAAAUCAAAAAUAUGUGUUAGCAUGUAUUUUAGCUUUAAUAACCAGGUUAUUAAAGCCACGAGAACUUGGUCAAUAUUCCAAAAAAUUUCAAAAAAAUCAUUUUGUUUUCUUUUAGUAUCCGGGAUUACAAAUUUAUACAUACAACGUAUUCCCAAUAUUAAAAAGAUAUUUCUUUUUAUUAACGUUAGAACGGUUAGGUUUUACCCGAUAAGAUAAAGAUAUGCUUACCGAGGAUGACUUUUCUUAAACUAUAGACAGACCAACAUAUAGACGUUAGCAUAUAUUAGACAAUAAAACAAUACAACUUACCUUAGGUAGGGCGUAUUUGAGUUGCUAAUACUUUCACUUUACGCAACUAGUCCCCGUGCCCGAUCUCUGAGACCAGUUAGGGUUCCUAGUGACCAAAACACUAGGUGACGACUUUCAUUCCAUCAUUCCACCGAUAAAAGACAAGAAUUCUCUGAGUGGACAAUCAUCGCGACGCCGCAUACGUGCGACAACAUGAAAGUCAUAUUGUAUGGAAUUUGUAUGAUGUGUUUCUUGAGAGAAAGCUUGUAUUAUUCAAAAUAAACUUUUAUUAAGUGUAAAUUAUUUAAAAUAAUAAUAAUUUUAUUCAGAACCUUUAUAAAUCUAUACAUAUAAUUAAAUCUAAUCAUAUAAUUUUUUUAAAAAAUUAUUUGAUUGCUGUCUUGCGCUUCUAUUAUCGUGGAAUUAAGUAAAAUAUGAUUUUAUAAAAUAAAGUUGUUAGACCUCACUGAGUCAUUUGUUUGGCAUGUAUACUGGAGUUGAUUCAAGAUAUCAUCGUCUUAAUAUUUGAAGAACAAUGUUAAAAUGUUGAUGUCUUCAAUUCUUUCUAGUCAAACUAGAUUUUUACUAGGUCGAUUAGAUCAAACUUUAACUUACUUAGUUGAUUGGAUCAUAUAAAAGUAAAAUCUAACCCAAUUUAGCUUAACACCUAAGCUAGGAGAGGGCUAAACUCAAAAUGUCUAUGAUUUUAAUUGAAAUUCAUUAAAACAUUAACAACACCUGUAAAUACAUUUUUCUUUUUGCCAUCAAAUUUAAUUUUUUAUCAUACCUACAAUGUAGCUUGGUUAAGUUAAUUAUGGAUCAUCUUACUACUUUUGUUUUUCAAAUUUUGUCAAGAAAUACUGCUAAAACACAUAUUAGCAACAAUUAUAUAUAUAUAUAUAUAUAUAAAUUAAUCCUACCUCAUGCAAAACACGUGCCACUAGCUAGGUUAAUUUAAAGCACCACUUGCUUUGCGGUAUUGGAGAGAAUGUAGUCAUCAUAGAUUCUGUUUGGAAAACUGAUCUUCGAAGAGAUUAGGAGCUGGAUAUUGUCUUCCUCUUCCUCUUUUUUAAUAUUUAUCUAUAUCAUAUUCCUCGUCUUAUUCUUCACCACUGUAAAGGGAUAUUUGAAAGGAAAAAAAAAUUGUAAAGUUUUAUUGUGUUUUUACUUUCCCGUCAUAUAUAGUUUUAAAAAAUACAUUUAAAAUCCUAGGUCAAAUAAAAAUUUAAAAAUAAUAAUAAGAAAAUAUUAUCAUAUAUAAUAUAACACAAAUAAUAACUAUAACUAUGAUAUCAAUGUUCACUAGGGUUCCAGAUUAUAGCUAUUUGAUUAUAGAAUUAAAAAGUGAGUCAGCCAGAAGGUAGUUAAUUGGCAUUUCACAGACAUAAAAUGGGUGUUUAUAAGUGAGGUGGUAAUUAUUUUUUAAAGUGUUUUUUGACUUGAAAAUGCAUCAAAAUAAUAUUUUUUAUUUUUAAAAGAUUAAUUUUGACAUUAACACAUCAAUAAUUUGAAGUAAAGAAAAAAAUAAUUUUUUUUUUUUAAAAACCUUUUGAAAUAUAAAAACAAAUAGCCAUAAUAACAAGCAAAACAUCAGAUGCAGUUAAUGAUUCUUAUAAGAUUUAAUCAAUUAUUUUUGGAACACGACAGUUAAAACCUUUGAAAUUGAAGCAUGCACCAUAAAAUGAUGAUGAUGGCCUUGCUGAACUGAACCAGAUUGCCUCAGGUUGUGGCUUACGUCGCCUUGCGUUGUGAUAGGAAAGACGUCUACGACAGCUUCGCUUCUUGUCAUCAAACUCUGACAAUUCACGGAACCUAAACAAAUUUUGCAUCCUAAAUGCAGCAGCAGCAGCAGACUUUAGCCGUAGAUAAUAACAUCAGAAAGCUUAGCAAAAGCAACAAAGCUAAAUCAUGGAGAUUAAAAAUGAAUAAUUACUAAGAAUUCCCCAAGAAUCAAGAUUCAUGAGAGUGUUACGUAUCUGGAUGACAGAAUAGUGGGAGAUGUUGCAACAAGAAAAAGACUACUAUGGGGAGGCAAGAAGGAGCGGGAAGUAGAGACGCCAGGAGCACACAACCUGCUGUUUAGUUAUUAAUAUUCUUUUAGUUAGUUGGAGUACAUUCGGUUAGCAGAGUUUGUUAAUCACUUUGAGUUAGUUGGAUUAGUACAAUUUCGAUUUCAUUUCUCUCUUCUCUGCUAAUAUCAUUCUGCUUCUUAGCCUCAUCUUCUUGAUUUGUUAAGUGAUCUUAACAAUUGAUAUCAGAGCCUUAAGAUCUAACACUAUGAUGAAAAAUCAUAAGCUGAAAAACAUUGAAGAACACUGCAAGAAAUUGGAGGAGCGAAUGCAAAUCCUUCAACAAGAACUCUAAGAAUCCCUGGUCGAUCAACAAAACAAAUGGCAGGAACAACUCGGUGAACAAUUAAAGUUGGAAGACUAAUUAGAUUAGUGCUCAAAUUGAAACACUGUCGAAUCAAUUUCAAACAUUCCUUGCUCAUCAGAUGACAGGGAAGGAUGUGGGAAGCACUUCUAGAGGAAUCUUACAGGCACUAGCAAGCGGCAGUCUUGAAGGAAUGUUAUCAAGGGGAAAAGGUCCUGCUAGGGGAGAUCAAACUUAUGGCCAGGAGCAGUAGAGAGUGGUGCAUAAUGCUGCUCUUCCAAGGAUGGAUCUGACAACAUUUCGAGGAGAUAAUCCUAGGGGUUGGUUAAGGAGGUGCAAGAAGUUUUUUAGCCUCAACUCAACUCCAUUUCAGUAGUGGGUAGAACUAGCAUCUAUUUACUUGGAAGGAAAGGCAUAAAUCUGGUUUGAAGGCUAUAUGCGUGGGGUAAUUCACUGGUUACUAUGCGCACAACACAGUAACAAGCUAUCUAUGGGCCGAUUCUGGCCUAGUUUCUUUUGGGCUAGGCCAGGCCCAGUUUUUUUGGGAUUUGUACUAUUUCCUCGCGUAUUUUUAUGCCUUUUUUAUUAAUUAGUAUUGGAAUAUAUUUUUAUGUCAUUAAAAAUACAAAAUCUGGUAUUAAAAUACCCGGUUUUCGUCAAAACUUCCAAAAAUACAAAAAAAAUUGAAAAUAGAAAAAAUGUUUUUGUGCAUACGGCCAAGAGUCUCAAAGCUAAAAAAAAUCAUAUUGUGUUUUUCAUACACCAAAAAACAAUGUUUUAGCAUGCAUUUUGGCUUUAAUAACCAGUUUAUUAAAGUCCAGAGAACAUUGACCAAAAUUUAAAAAACAACAAAAAUUUUAUUUUGUUUUGUUUUAAUAUCAGGGAUUAUGAAUUUAUACGUAAAACGUAUUCCCGAUAUUAAAAAGGUAUUUUCUUUUGACAACAUAGAACAGUUAGGUUUGUACCCGAUAAGAUAAGAACCUUCUUAUUGAAGAGGGCUUUUCUUGACCCUUUAGACGGACCAACAAUUAGAAAACACAACAAGACCAUAAUUUUUAUCAAACAUUAAAACAAUGCAGCUUACCUUAGGUAGGGCGUAGUGGGGGUGCUAAUACCUUCCCUUUACGCAACCAGUCUCCGUACUCGAUCUCUGAGACUAGUUAGGGUUCCUAGUGACCAAAAUACUAGGUGGCGACUCCCAGUCCAUAUUUUACUGAUAAGAGACAAGAAUUCCUUGUCUCUCCAUAUUUGCCAGACAGACCUUUACCAUUUUCGUUGUGAAUGGUGGACGAUCGUCGCGACGCCGCACACGUGCGACAAUAUGGUUGGUGGGGCAGUUUUUUCUGGUAGAGGUAACAACAAUACCACAUCAGGUACUUGCUAAUGCAGAAAUAACAAGGUUAUUGGCAGACUAUGCAGUUGCUUUUCAAGAACCAACAUCAUUGCCACCUACCAGGAAACAUGAUCAUAGAAUUCCACUAACAACAGGAGCUCAACCCGUUAAUUGCAAACCAUAUAAGAGCUCUUUCUUUCAAAAGGGGGAGAUCGAAAUGAUGGUCAAGGAGAUGCUACACAACAACAUAAUACAACCCAAUGUUAAUCCCUUUGCCUCUUCUAUUCUUUUGGUGAAGAAGAAGGACAACACAUGGCGUUUUUGUGUAGACUUUCGACUGCUGAAUGAAAAAAUUUCUUAGUAUUCUUUGACGAUAUUCUCAUUUAUAGUUCCUCUCUAAAAGAACACAUCAGUCAUUUGAAGCAAGUCUUGGACACUCUUAAAACUAACCAACUGUAUGCGAAGAGAUUCAAGUGCACAUUUGCAGAGCCGCAAGUAGAGUAUUUGGGGCAUAUAAUUUCAGCUGAAGGGGUAGCCACUAAUCCUAAGAAGAAACAGGCAGUACAGGAGUGGCCAAUUCCAAAAUCCAUUAAGAAGCUAAGGGGAUUCCUUGGCCUAGCUGGUUAUUAUUGAAAAUUCAUUAGGAAAUUUGGUAUUAUUAGCAAGCCUUUGACAAAUAUGCUCAAGAAGAAUAACUUCAUUUGGCAUGAAGGAGCACUAGAGGCUUUUCGCAACCUGAAACAAGCAUUGUGUAAGGCUUCAAUCAUGGCCUUGCCGGACUUUACCAAACCGUUUGUGCUGGAACCAGACGCUUGUGAUACUGGAAUUGGAGCAGUACUUAGCCAGGAAGGAAGACCAUUAGCAUUUUUUAGCAAGGCCUUGGGAGUCAAACACUUGAGGCUAUCCAUUUACGAGAAGGAAUACCUUGCUAUUCUAAUGGCAGUCGACAAGUGGAGGCAUUACUUGGAACAAGAUCAGUUUGUCAUUCAAACUUAUCAUGAAAGUCUGACGUAUCUACUUGAUCAGAAAAUUCACACUCCUAUUCAAAAGAAGGGGCUAACUAAGCUAUGGGGGUUGAAUUAUCGGAUCAGGUACAGAAAAGGAAAGAAGAAUAAGGCUACAGAUGCCUUAUCUAGGAGGAAUAUACAGGGGGAAGAAGGUUGUCAAGGAAAUAAAAUGGAAGGGGGAAGGUUCACCGCCAUAACACAAAUAACUCCCUCCUGGUAUGACAAGAUUUAUGCCUCUUAUAAAGACGAUGCCAAGUUGCAGGAUAUAAUGAGGAGUAAACUGGUAGAUGCUGCACAAUCUCUCAACUUCAUAUGUUGAAGGAGUGAUUAAGUAUAAGGGGAGAGUUGUUAUAGGAUCUGCAGGGUUAUUAAAGGAAGAACUCAUCAAGUCUACCUAUGAUUCCUACAUUGGAGGACAUGCUAGGAUCCAAAAUACAUACAGACGACUUAAGGCUCACUUCUACUGGCCUUGUAUGACGAAAUUAGUGCAAGAAAUAGUUCAACACUGUGACAUUUGUAAACAAGCUAAGGCCGAAAGGGUCCCUUAUCCUGGAUUGUUACAGGCUCUUCCAGUUCCAAGUGGUUCUUGGCAGGAUAUAACCAUGGAUUUCAUAGAAGGAUUUCCAAGGUCAGAAGGCAAGGAUACCAUUAUGGUCAUUGUUGAUCGAUUUACGAAGUAUGGGCAUUUUAUCACAUUAGCCCAUCCCUUCACAGCUCAAGAGGUGGCUAAAUUUUUUCUGGAUCACAUUUAUAAGUUACAUGGCUUGCCUGCCACAGUAUUAACUGAUAGAGAUAAAAUUUUCACAAGCUUGUUCUGGAGAGAAUUGUUUAGACAUUUGGGCAUAAAGUUGUUACUAAACACCUCCUAUCAUCCUCUAACGGAUGGUCUGACCGAGAGGGUGAAUCAAUUCCUAGAGACUUACCUAAGGUGCAUCACUAUACAUUGUCCCAAAAGUGGAACACUUGGAUAUCGACAGCACAAUGGUGGUACAACAGUAGCUUCCACUCGGCUAUCAACAUGUCCCCAUUGCAAGCAUUAUAUGGAUAUGAACCCCCGGUAAGGGAGAUGGUACUCAUUGAGGCUACUCAAGUAGCUAUUGUGGAAGAAUGGAUGCAGAGAAGGCUUAAUAUGGAUCAGUUGAUCAAGGGGCUGUUGGAGGGGGUGAGGAAUAGAAUGAAACAGGUGGCAGAUAGGAGGUGUUCGGAAAGGACAUUCAUGGUGGGAGAUUGGGUCUUCCUAAAAAUUCAGCCUUACAGGCAGGGCAGUGUCAUGUACAGGAAGAAUUUCAAGCUAAAUCCCAGGUAUUAUGGCCCUUACCAAGUUAUUGAACGGAUUGGAGCUGUAGCUUACAAGCUCAAGUUACCAGAGGGGCGUGCAGUGCAUCCUGUGUUCCAUGUAUCGCUAUUAAGAAAGAAGGUGGGAGAGGUGGCCAUAGUUUCCCAAGCCCUGCGGAUCGUAGAUGAAGAAGGCAGAGUUAAGGUUUAUCCAGUCACCAUACUAGAAAGGAAGCUUAUGAAGAAAGAUAAUAGAGCCGUGGUGGCAGGCUUAAUUCAAUGGUCUAACUCAUUUCCUGAAGAUGCAACAUGGGAAGAAUUGACAGAAAUACAAUUGCAAUUUCCAGAAUUCAGUAUUGACCCUUAAUUGUCAAGAUUGUAGAUUCUUGAGCCAAGAAUCUUUUCGAGGAAGAGUUAUUGUUACGUAUCUGGAUGACAGAAUAGUGGGAGAAGUUGCAACAAGAAGAAAACUACUAUGGGGAGGCAAGAAGGAGCGGGAAGUAGAGACGCCAGGAGCACACAACCUACUGUUUAUUUAUUAAUAUUCCGUUUGUUAGUUGGAGUACAUUUAGUUAGAGUUAGUUGGAUUAAUCUGUUAGUAGUCAAUGUGGAUUACUAUGAAAGCACAUUGUAUGGAUUAUAUUGGAUAUGAAUAGAUUGCAGUCCAAUUUUGAUCUCAUUUCUCUCUUCUCUGCUAAUAUCAUUCUGCUUCUUAGCCUCAUCUUCUUGAUUUGUUAAGUGAUCUUAACAGAGAGAACCUGCCUGCUGCACUUUUUUUUGGAUUCCUGAAAAGGAUUUGUGUUCAAGAAUUCAUUAUGAAUGAUAAUUUUGUUAUUUUGAGAUUCCAAAGAGUUUUUAGUCAUUAAAAUAAUAAACUUGUAAAUAAGGAGAUAUAUUUUGUUGGCUUUUUUUUUUAAAAGGAUAUUAAAGGUAAAUGCACAUAUAAAAUUUAUGAUAUAAAAUAUAAUUUUUCAAACCAUAAUAAAAAAUAUAUAUAAUUGCGACCAAACCUAAGAAAAUCUUUUGUGAUUAUUGGUAAGAAUAAAUAAGAGCAUGGAUUAAUGGUAAAAAGAGAAUCACGUAUUAAACACAAAAGAUAAAUUAUUUUGAAUUCAACAAUUUAACAUGACAUGGAAGGAACAUGCAAUAGAGAGAGGAUCUAAUUUAACAUGUCGUACACAAUAAUAACUUAAUAUAUAGCUUCUUCUUUUUUUCUUUUUAAUUUUGGUACAAUAAAAAGCUCUUCAAAUAUGUAGAAUAAAAGCCCAAUCUACUUAGAUAUAACAUAUUUAGAGUAUGAGAUGAGAUCAGCUUAUACUGCAAAUAGUUUAUUACUGAGUUAUUGCGUAAUAAAUUAAUUGGAAUAGAGAGCAUGUAUCCCAUCAAUAUCAUCCUGAGCGAGAUCUCUUUUCUUCUUUCCAGGUGCUAUCGUUGGAUACAUGAUGGCUUCGGGAUGAUCUUUACUAUGAUAAAGGCCAAGCAGAUGUCCUAUUUCAUGAACAGUAACGGAUUCCAGGUCAGUUUGAUCCAUUGCGGGGUCAGUGCUCCAGUUCUCGUCUGCAUCGUAAUGGAGACGGCCGUCUUGUGGAAAAAAACCAUGAGCCAGUUGUUUCCCUGGUCCAUCAAAAGGAUCCUGAUCCCCAUGAUCGCCGCUGAAGAACU
rnacentral:lncRNA from 1 species